UUUAUUUUUUAGAAGUUCCGCCUAAACGUCAGUGACUUUGUCAUUGUACUUCUCUACGGCUCGCACUCUGCCUCCCUUCUUUAUUAUCAUUGAGAUUUUAAAAUCAAGCAUGAUUAUCAUUGGGGUUUAUUUUUUUCUUUUAGAAGCCCAAACCUUUAAAAAUUGGACCUUAUAGUUUUUGGAAACUUCAGGUUUAAUCUUUCGUUUUGGUCAUUUGUACGAGGGGUGGCUGAAAUACUGGAAUUUCCGAAAUUUUGGAAACUUCGGAUCAAAAUUAUAUGAAUUUUUGAAUAAAAUUUGAACCAAAUAUUACCAAAUUCACGAAAAAUGAAAAAAAAACUAAAAAGUUCAGCCGAAAUAAUAUCAUAUCAGUGGGGUCCAAUAGAACCGAAAUUUCGAAAAUUUUGAUCCGAAAUUUCAAAAAUUUUGGUUCGAAAUUUUGAACCCUGGCGCCGCCCAACCAGUCCCGGCCAUCGCCUGCUCACGGAGUCACGGCCGCCGCCUCGUUGGCGGCGGCGCUGAGCCGGCCACCUCCUGCACGCGGUGCACCACCCGCUCAGAGGAGAGAAGAGGAAGAGACAUAGGAGAGAAAGAGAGAAGAGAGGAUUGAAAAUAAAAGGGAAUCGAAGAGAGAGAGGAGCUGAAAAAAUUGAAGUGAGUGAGAUGGAAAAGAAAGAGGUGGGGUGAAAAAAAAAUCUGUGUAGGAGAGUGAAUAUUUUUGUGUGCAGGCCACUUAAUUGGCCCGCUUGCAAAAAUAGGCUCCCUUUCAUGCGGCUACUAAAGAGACCCAUCUGCGAAAAUAGAUUUUUUAUGCAGGCCACACAAAGAGCCGUACACGAUGAAGGUCAAUUUUUGCAUAUGCGACCAAUUACGAUCCGUCUACAAUCUAAAGAGGUCCUCGUACAGAAAAAUCAUUUUUAUAGUGAAAUGCGACAGUUUUUCUAAAAAUAAUAUGUCAAAUAUAAAGUGUAAUUUGCAUGAUCUUACAUUGUAAGGAGGGUGUAAGUAGCAUGUAAGUUUAGUUUCAAUUAAAAAAAACUGUAGGUAAAUACGUGAGCUCUGUGACCAGGAGGUGCUGAGCUUGAUUCCUGCGUUCGCAUGCUCUGAUAUUAUUUCUCCUGUAUCCCUAGUAAGAAUCUCAAUAUGGAUCUGAUGGACCAAAAAUCGACAUAUUUUUAGGAAAAGCUAUUGCCAUAGUUUUAGCUUUUCCGUUUGAUUAAUGCUAAUGUGUUUACGUGUUUAAUUUUGUCAGGGGUAAGUGCGACGAGGAGAAGGCAAAGAAUGGGAUCAAGGACAACUUUGUGAGGUUCAGUUUUGGGAUCGAGAAGUUUGAGGAUCUCAGGGAUGACAUACUCCAAGCCUUAGGGAAGAUUUAAUUUAGCCCAAUUACUAAUGCAAGGCUAGUCGCGCGUGUCCCACCCCUCAUCCCCCGUGACUAUGACACGUUGCGGGCGCGGAGAGGGGGAUGGGGGUUGGUGGAUGGCACGCUUUUUCGUUUUUUUUCUUUCACGUUUCUUUUUCAGUUUUUUAAUACGUACGUACACAACUUGUGUACGGACGUAUACAAUUAUUACAUACGUGUAUAUUUAUCGGUAAAAUAGGAACCGAGUACCUAUUUUUCCGUAAAACAAUUACAAGUAAAAUAAAUGGCAUGCUUAAACCAUUCUUGGGUGAUGUGGUUGGAGGCCCACCUUUAUCUGUUUGCGGAAUAAGAAUAUAGCCUAAGGUCUUCCUCGAACCUGGUCUAGUCCUGGGUCUCGGUCUCACCUUAGCUCAUCUAGGUUACAAUACUGCUCUGUGAAGAGAAGUGAUGAGACCUAUAAAAGCUAUGUUUUAUAAGAAUGUAACACAAGGUUUGCCUCGAAUCCGGCCUCGUCAUGGGACCCGAGUUCGCAUUAGCCCUUGUAGUUUCUGCGUUCUUCUGCAAAGAAGAGCGUCGAAACAUUUAAAAUAAAUACAUUAUCUACUCAUCAAAGACAUCUUCGAGAAGCUUCUCCAAGAAUAGAUGAACUGUCAUCACAAAAAGCGCGAGAGCAUGAUCUUAGGACCGGCUAGGGAGAUGGGCGCGCUCCACGGGCUGUUCUGAAGAGCUGCACGGGUUGGUUUCUUGGUAACCUCGCUUACAUGGGGACAAGAGCAGGGGAGGAGGAGGAGGAGGGGCCGUUGCCGGCAUCAUCGGUGAAGCUGGUGAUGGAGUAGGGGCCUCCCUCGAGCCCCUCCAUUGAGCAGCACCCUACUGCCACCAGCUGCUGCCCUCUCCUAAUUCACUUCUUGCUGCAGUGCCGCCAUCUUCUGCCCGCCGCUACCCUCUCCUUCACCUCCUGUAGCAGCACCGCUUACCGUCGCCGCCCAACUGCGUAAACAAGACAUAAUGGACAAGAUAAGGAAAGUGAGGGAGGAGAGGAUGACAAGUGGCCCCCACAUGUUUGUGGGCCUCACAAUUUUUUUUUAUGAAUGACAAAUGGGUCACACAUAUAUAUUUUUAAUUAUAAUGCCACCUAAGUGCCACAUUAACACCACAAAGACGCCAAUCAGCGAAACCGCCCUCCAAAACCACCAAGGGAGUCAAAUUGCACUGGUUUUAAUAGUUUGGGGGUCAAGAUAUCCGGUAUUGCGGUUCAAGGAUACGAAUUAGAUUCGGUCACUAGUUAAGGGAGUCAAAGUGAACAUAUUCCUUCGUAGCCUAACCUAACAUUAGUUUGCCUAUUUUGUUAUGCUAAAUGAUUAUAUGGGCCUGUUGAUGACCAAAUUUGGUAAGUCAUGCAUCAAAUUCAAAAGCUAAAGUCAAAGCGGAUUCAGCGGAAGAUCGUUUCUCAGAAGCAGAGUACGUAUCGGCUACAGGAGGCAUUGGCUAGCGCUUGCAUCGGUUGACGAUGGAUCAGACAGAGAACAGCCGAUGUAGCCGAUUUUGGUAAGGUGGUUCUUGACUCAUCUUCGGGAUCGAUUAACGUGCUACACAAGUAUUGCCAUGAUUUGGAUAAGCCCACGGAUAGGCAAUUGUAUCUAUUAAUUAGAAUAUUUUGAAUAGUUUUCUUAGAGAUAUUUUUCGGCAAGAGUAUGCCUAAAAAACUUGUUCGUAUCUUAUGGUUGUAACAGAUUUAGAGUCGUGUCCGGCAAGGAUACAUUAUGUAUUUUGGAUAUAAAUAUGACCCAAGACCGUGUAAACAAGGACAACAGUUCAAUAACACUUUCGGUGCAUCACCACCUUUUUCUACUUUCAUUGUUUCGACGAGUUCUUGCUUUCGAGUUGGGCUGCAUCGGGUUCGAUCUCCGACAAGAGGUAAAAUUUGUCAUGGCGGCUUGCGUUCUUGAGAUUAGUGCUUACAUCUUCAUAACACUCUAAUCGUGUUUAUGUAAAUCGUCGAGUUAUCAUAUAUGCUAUAUAAUUUUUUAUCAAUAUUGCUAUCUAACCCCAAAUCGGCUAAUAUCUAUUAUUAGAGGGCAGCCAAUAGGGUUAGAUAUCAACAUUGAUCUAGAUUAUAUAGUAUAUUUACCAUCUCAUAUAGGUUUUCAUCAACUUGUUUAGAUUUUAUGUUUCUCUUUAUGCUUAAUGCUGCAUCAGUUGAGCUCGAUCUAUUAAGUAAUAUCUAAAACUAUAAUAUCUAGCUUGUCUUAUGAUCAUCGAUAGAGAUAGUAUCGGGGUUUCAGCCGAUCUUACCUGAUUUAGUCGUCUGGUUCUCAAUAUCUUUACUUAAUAUGCUAAAUCUGCCCUUUAUAUUAAGAUCUUAUUGCAUUGAAAUAUAUUAGGCUCACUGUUUGGUAUAUUUUGUCCACUUUAGCAUCCUAAUAUAGAGUGGUAUCGGAGUACUAGUCAAUACAUCUUAGAUUUACUUCAUCGGCUAUGCUAUGAAUAUAUAUAAUCUUUGUCUUAAAGUAAUUUUAAACAUAAGUGAUUUAUACUGUCUCGGCUAACUGUCUGAUAUAUCCCAAUCACUUUGUUUAAAUAUAUUUUUAGAAAUAGAUUAUAUAUGAUUGAUAUCUAUAGCCGAUCGGGUAGAUUUAACUUUAUCUUGCUCUAUUCUUCAUUGCCGAUCUAAUGCAAAUAACAUCGGCUUAAUGAUUAACGAUAUGUCAUCGGCCCUUAGCCGAUCGGCUAUCGUUUAUAGAUUUAACCUUGUUUUCUUGUUUUCCUUCUUGUUGAUUGCAGGAUCAAAUCAAGUGGCAUGCCUUUAAGCCCGAAAGCAAGAUUUAGGACCUGCACUGGAGCUAAGCAGAUCUCCCAGGCCAAUGUGUGUUUUUUGCAUCAACAUGGCCUUUUCAGAUGAGCCCAACCUUUUGCACAGUCCUAAUAAGGGGAGGGCUAAUAGGCGGGUGAUCGUUGUGGAUGAUUGGGCACCCCCGGUACCUCCCCCUAAUGCGCACGCUCCUUCCCUUCCUAAUGCACCAUAAAUUUCAAAAAAGAAAAAUUUAGAAAAAUAAUAAAAGAAGAUAGAAAAGUUCUAAUACCCUUAAAAAUAAAUUCAUAUGCAUAGCCUUUAUACUUAUAAAUAUAUGCAGUAAACUUCGUAAUUUUAAAUAGAAAUAUUAUAUAAAAAUAUUUAUAUCUGAAUUUGUAUUUGAAUCGGGUAUAUAAACUUUUCACUUAUAAAUUUUAGGUGUGUAAACUUUAGAUGUACAAUCUUUAGCUAUAUAAAAUUACCCGAAAAGAAAAACUAUAUGGUAAAAAAACGAUCGCCGAUCUCGAUUAAGAUCCUCUAACUUACUUUUUCUUUAACGUAAAUCAGUUAUUUGUAUUCUCUUUAGAGUUCAUGUAUCAUUCAAAUUAGAGGGAAGUAAGUCUAAGGAUUCGCUUCUAGUCAGCUACUCUGCUGUGGUAGCUGACAAAGUAUAUAUACAUAGUAUAUGACUUGACCUAGCUUUCAAGCAACACAAGUGGUCGGUUAAUUAACACGCAGCGAUCAAAGAUAUAUAGAUGCAGUCAGCUAUAGGUUCAUGCAUCUGCACCCUGCUGGGUUUCUUUUUUCUUCAAUAACUCUGCAGCUUAACUAUGAAACAAUCCACUGAUCGAAAGGGUUCUGUAUUGUUUUAAAGUUUUUAAUCUAGGCCGUCCCUUUGAAUCAUAGGGUUGAAAAAAUAGAAGAAUAGGAAAAGUAUAGGAUUUUGAUCAUAGGAAUUGAAGGGUUAAACAGAGGAUUGCAAAACACAGGAAAAACACACGAAUAAUCGUUUGAUUGGACCGUAGGAAAAACACAGGAAUCAGAUCAGACAGACUCAAGGAAAAUUUUCCAAGAGGUUGAAGCUCUUACUAAGUUUCCUCCAAAAUCCACAUACAAUGUGUCAUUUCAUAAUAAUUGUAUAGGAUUUUGAAAGUUUUAAUCAUUUAAAUUAAACGGCCAAAUAUAAAAAUUUCCGAUAGAAUUUGAAUUCUAUAACAUUUCUAUAUAAAUCAUUUCAUUCAAAUGGCGCUUCAUGUCGCAGCAGCUGGAGUAUGGUGUGUACACAGUCACACUGCACAAGUGCACAUGCAUCGUCGCUUGCUCGGCGAGGUCAAUUUUUUUAAGGGUGUAAGGUCAAUUAUUAAUUAUUCAGUUUCUUCUUGGUCAACAGUUUCUUAAUCUUUGAGAAAAAUUUGCUCGUUAUGAAGAAAAGGCUCCUGUCUUUAGGUUUGGAGAAGACAAUAGUCAUAAUAAACUAUUGAUGAAAAAACCGGAGAAAACUUGCAUCUCUUUUUCAUUUUACCCCCUUAAACUAGAGGUUAUUUCCUGAUCAAUGGUGGACAGUCAGAGUACAACGGCCCUUUAUUUCUAGGGCUUAUUUAAUCCCUUGACCUCUCACAUGGCCUGUGUCAAAGGUUCACUUUAGCGCUUAAUAACAUUUCAAUUUAUUUUCUUUUUAUACGAGAUGGAUUUUAAGCAAAAGUUUUUUUUUUAGACAUCGAUGGCACCACUGUCAAAUUCAAAAAUAUUUUAAAUUUUUUUCAUGACCGUUUGCUUAAAAUUAAAAACCUCAAUGUCUAAAUUACUCUUAGGUGCUUCCAACCAUAUAAACUAUGAUAAAAAGAUUCUAAAAAUUAUUAAGAGGUAACUUAAACUUAUAAUGCAUCUGUCAGACUGGCAUCUUAUCGAAAUUUGAGUGUAAGACGCAACAUAUAUAUAGAGGGGAAAAGAAGACUAACUAAAAUGCAACUGAUAGUUCAUUCUACAAACUACCCUCGAAAACUAGUUCACUGGGAAGUAGAAUGAACCUUUUUUUCCUAACAAAAUAAACAUCUUUUGUAUACCUUUGCAAAAAAACAUCCUCUAUAUCUUUCUGCAUUGCACUUGUACAAAUUAAAGAAUUGUCGUAUAUACACUUUAGCUUCCUAUGAAGCCAGAAACGAUCAAUUAAUCGAAUUGAAGACCAAAGAAAAUGUAGUUGUGUGCCUAAAAACCGAAAUAUAGAUCAGGUACUGAAAGCUAGCUAGCCCAAAAUUAAAUCUUCUCUAGGGCUUGGAGUAUAUCAUCCCUGAGAUCCUCAAACUUCUCGAUCCCAAAACUGAACCUCACAAAGUUGUCCUUGAUCCCAUUCUUCGCCUUCUCCUCCUCACUCUUACCCCUGAAAAUAAUUAACCACGUAAACAUUAGCAUUAAUCAAAUCAGUUUCUUCAAAUUACUUCAGAUGUUAAUCACAUACUCCUCUUGUAAAUUAUUACAGAGGGCAGGAGCUUAAUUAAUUACCAGUAGGACAUGACGGCCGGCUGCUGGACAAGGCUCUCGCAGCCGCCGAGCGACGUCGCGAUGAGCGGCAACUCCAGCGCGUCCACGAACCUCAUCACGCCGCGCAUGUCCGACGCCACCUCGAAGCUGACCACGCCGCCGGCGCCGGCCAUCUGCCUCGUCGCGACGCCGUGCCACGGGCUGCUCUCCAGCCCAGGGUAGUAGACGCGCUCGAUCUUGGGGUGCUUCUCCAGCAGCCGCGCCAUCCGCAGCGCCGUCCUGUUCUGCGCCUCCACCCGCAGCGCCAACGUCUUCAAUCCCCGAAUGAUCAUGUACGCCGCGUUCUAAAUGACAAAUUAAAUUACAGUCAGUUUUGGAAUGACAUAAAGUGAAUUUGUGCAAAUUUGCUUUUGUUUUUGUUUUUGUUUUUGGUUUGGUUACCGGACUGAUGGCGCCGCCGAGGUCGUGGUGCCACGCGCGUAUCCUCGAGAUGAGGGCCUCUGAGCCGCUGACACAGCCGGCGAUGACGUCAUGGUGGCCGGCGAUGUACUUGGUGGCGGAGUGGAGGACCACGUCGGCUCCGAGGGCGAGCGGCUUCUGGUUGAUGGGCGACGCCAGCGUGCUGUCGAUGCACACCAGCGCGCCCCUCCGGUGGCACAGCUCCGCCACGCGUGCCACGUCGACGACCUUCAGGUGUGGGUUCGUCAUCGAGUCGGCGUAGAACAUCGUCACCUCGUCCUCAUCAAGAACGGAUUCCAGCGCCUCCAUGUCGUCGUCAAGAUCCACGAACGUCGACUGCAAAUCCAUGGAACGAACGCCAUUGUUAGAAUCAGAUUGCAAGUAAAGCCAUGCUCUGAUGAAGCUGCCAUUAAUUGUGUAUACAUACCGUGAUGCCCAUCUUGGAUAGCUUGUCGUGGAUGAAGGCGCGGGCCUCGCUGUAGCAGUCGGCGGUGACGACGACGUGGCCGCCGGGGGGGACGAGGGCGAGCAGCGUGGCGACGAUGGCGUUCAUGCCGGAGGAGGUCACCAGCGUCGCCUCCGCCCUCUCCAGCGCGCUGAUCUUCUCCUCCAGCACCUUCACCGUCGGGUUUCCGUACCGCCCGUACUCGAAGCUCCGCCGCCAGCCUUCCCGGAAGGCGAUGAGGUCCGCCGAGUCCCUGAACCAGUGCGUCGUGCCGCUCACGAUCGGCGUCGCGAUCGAGUCCGUCUCAGCGGCGCCGCUCCCGAGCUUCUCCCCGGCGUGCACCGCCAGCGUCUCGUCCGACGCGCGUCGGCCUGCCGCCUCCGCCGCCACCACGGGAGCGUCAUCCACGGCGGUGUCGACGACGCAGUCGUCCAAGUCCGGCACCACCGGAUACUCCGGCGACGAGGGACAACCCGCGAGGGAACCGAACGUGUCGGCGGCGGCAGCGCGCUCCGGCUUGGUGGGAGAACGGCGAGAACGGUGAACGCGCCGCCGCCGCUGCACCAAAACCUUCGUCACGAGAGACGAUGACUUCGCCAUAGCGAUUGAAGGCUAGCUUGAAGCAAGUGAUCAGUGUAUUCUGAGAUAAAACGGAAGUGAUUAUUAGCCUUAAUCGAGGUGAUUAGCGGUGAGCUUAGGAACCCAAGGAAUCACUAAUCACAUGUGGUUUCUGCUAAUGAGAUGUCGCGACGGCGUAUUUAUAAAGGCAGGGAGCGAGAGAGGAGAGGAGAGACUACGCGCGCUUCACUGAAAGUUCUACGCAGUGACGUUGAUCACGUGGUUUUCCCGCAGGAAAAGAAAAAAGGAAAAAUGAAAAAUCCACGUGUGUGGUUCCGUGCGUCAAGGCCGCAAAAGCGUGUAUCGAUUAAUCUGACCAUAUACGGAUGGGGGUGAUUAUUUAACUAUCCGACGUAGUUAACCGCGGUUUGUGUGACGAUUAAGAGCAGGUAUAAUAGUCUUACCUUAUCAUGCUAUAAGAGUUAAGAAAUAUAUUUGUGUUGAGUUGAAAGAGAGAGAAUGCAAGGAAAGAGAAAAGCGGGCGCUUGAUUUAUCGGCUGCAGCACAAACCCCAACGCAAGUUAAGGUGUCCAAGACUGGCUCGUGGGGAUCCUAAGUGGUGUUGACCAAUGAGACGACAACAAGCUGAACGAUGGUGUAGUUUGUUACUUGUGCAGAGAUAGCACUAGCAGCCAGCUAUUGUACUUAUCAGUUUUAUUACGUCGUUUUGCUUAUGUGGAGUUUUUUUUGAGUAAACAGUCGACGACACUAUUAAACUUGCUCUAAUCAUACAUAUGGACCUACGGUAUCAACAUCCACCACUGAAAGUAUUAGCAGGUACUAGCAAGGAGGCUACUCUCAGGGUUCACUACUACAGAAAGCGUUUUUGCAUACGGGCGGAAUCGAUCUUCACAUACGGUUGGCCGGCCCGCAUGCGUGAAAUGGUCUGCAAAGAUCACCAUUUGCGCAUGCGGCCGUCUUAAGUAGACCGCAUGCGAAAUUCAAUUUCCGAAUAGCUAAAAUAAUAUUUAUUCUAGCAUUUUGGUGAUUCGUAAUUAAUGUUAAAUUAUUGAGGGAUUUAUUAUCGUAUUUCGGAGUAGUAAGCAUAUAAGAUAAGACAAGUGCCGCAGUAACAAACAUGUAAUACAUAACCAUUAAUUCAAUCGUAAUUUACAUACAAAUAUAUAAUACAAGUGGCACAGUUUUUUCAUCAUAUGUAUAAGUAGUGUACAUGUUAUUGCAUAUGUUCUUUCUCCCACUCUCUGAGAGGUUUAAAUUUAUCGUCCAUUGCGAGUUCACUCUGGUUGUCGUAGAAGAGACCUCUUGCGUUGCAGACAUCGCGACGGAUGAAUCGACAGAGGUCAGCGGCCACGUUCAAGAUAGUAGUGUGGUUGAAUCGUUGUGCAAUAUAUGGGAUUUCGGAGAUCUGCACACAGAAAGGAAAAUAAAACGGUACUCAGUGAAAAGUGUGUGCGAGAUGGGUUUCUUUGUAGAGAAGAGUUCGAUGACCUACUCGGUUACUGGUUGUUUUGUACCUCCCAUUUACUCUGAGCAUCUCGCACACGUAAUAACCACACAAGUUGGUUCCUGGUGGUUGUUUGUAGCACUGCGAUAUAAUUAUGGGGACCGAUCUCAGUAGAUAUAUUUAGUAUAUAUGUACUGUUCGAUAAUUAGUUGUAUUGGUAUAAAUUUGAUAGUACCGGCCAGCCAGUCCUGACGGAUAACUUCUUCUGGGAUGGAAUAUGUACUGGUCCACCUCUUUUGCGGUAGUACUUGUGUGCUCUGUUUGAAGGAAACAAUUGUUUUAUUAGUAGUUAGAAGACUGGUGAUCGACCUAAACAAUUUAUAGUAAUGAAAUGUUUAUCACUUACAAAUUCAAAAUAGUGAGGAAUUCCAUAAAUGUCUCCUUGUCAUAGUGUGCGGGGUCCAAUGAUAUGAUCAAUUGGUCUUUCGGAUAUACAAGGAAUAAUAUGUAGUGGUCUCUACAUAUAAGAUAGGCUUAUUGGAGACAGAAAAUUCCGAAGAAGAUAAAUUAAUUAAACAAAAAGAAGAGAGAGCUUACGUGAACUGGUAGGGGACCAUUAAGACAUCUUUGUCGGCGUGCGCCAACAUUGCUAUUGCCAAGUAUGUUGCUACUUCUAGCUUCUUCCUCUUGUGCAAUGUCUUCACAUAUUCUUCCUUUUCUUCCGGGGUCUUGCCAACCAAUUGCUCGCAGUCCUGUCUCAGCUCUACGGUGUGUUGUGUUUUGCAUAUUCUUGUUGGAUCGACGUAUCCAACCUUUGCUCCAGUUCUAUCAGCUUCGUGGAAUUGCAUACUGUACAAUGAAUAAAGAAGAAAUGAGAUUUGGUUUAUUUGUUUCGAAUGAAACGUGCAACAUGUAAUAAAGAGUUCAGACUUACAGACAGAAAGCCGCAACGAGAUUAACGUCCAUUUUAUCUAGCUUGUAGAGGGCGUAAAGGUCUUGGAAAGAGAUAAAAAAUAUCCCAUUAGGACCACUCAUGAAAGCGACUUCCGGGACGGCGACGCUUAUGAAACCGAGACCUUUCCUAGAUGCCUUCAUAUACCAUUCGUGCAUUACCCUCAUUUCCCAUGGUAGCUUGUUCAUAAGAUAAGUUGGCAAGAAUGGCUUGCCAUACUCAUAAGUUUUAGGCACAUCGGCAGAUAACCAGGAUUGCACUUCAUCUUGGGCCGCUAGUACUGACUUCUGGGAGUCUGACAAGACGUGAGCAAGUUCUUUUCUCUUCUCAGAAUUCCUGAAAGCUGAAAACAUGAACUUCUCCUUAUCCUUGUCAAUCUCCUUUGGGUCGUAUGUCGAUAUCAACUUUGGAAUUAUACGACGAGGUUCCAAAGUAUUAGACUUUGGUUCGGAUGUAGUACCAUCUGGUAUGUGCACUUGUUCUACCAGAGCAGAUUGGGGUGUAGGUGGAGAGGUUUGAACUGAGGGCGGAGCCGGGGGAGCAUGCUGUUUAGUUGGGGAGGUGGGAGAGGCUUGAACUGGUUGCGGGGUCGGGAGAGGCGGUUGUUGAGAAGGGGAGGGUGGUGGUGUAGGUUGGCGAGGCGGUGACCUAAGCGGUGGUGGUGACGGCAGAUGUCGAGGUGACGGUGGUUCAGGAGGCGACGGUGGUGCAGGAGCGGCAGCAGUCAUUGCCUGCGAUGAGGAUGGGGUUAAAGAUCCUGCUGCAAGAACGGCCGCGCUCAGGAUUAUGUCUCUGCGGUGCCACAAGAUAAACUGAUUCACUGCAUCACCGAGAAGUUCAAUCCCCUCAGGUGCAGGUAUGUCUAGUUCCAAGGAAACGUGGUCGCUAUGGACCUUGGCGACCUGUACCCUUGCGUAAUCCUCAGGGAUUGCCGUGUUGUGGAAUUGACGUCCGGGUAUCGCUAAACCCGUUGCAACCUCCUUAGUCUUUCCAGCGCGGCCGAUUGGUACGACGAGACUGCACGGAGUUGGUCCAGUUAUACUAUCCACAGGGAAGGUACUUGUCUGCACUGAGCCUACACUGCUGGGUACAUUAGUUGUUUGCUGUGCGGAUUGUGUGGGUUGCUGGCUAUCAGGGAAUAACCUUGGAAAAGCUAUCGGGUUUUCAGCUGCCAACGAGUAGAAGUGUUCCUUCACUUGCGCAUAGAUCUUGUCCGAUAGUUGUUCUUUGUAUUUGUCUAUCUUCUUAUAACUUGGUGCGUCUUGUGGAAACCCGACCUUCCAACUUGUCUUUGAGGACAAACCCCUUACACGUCCAGAGUGUUCAGCCGUCCCCAACGCCGCAGUAAGCUGAUCUCGCUCCCUCCGUGGGACGAACUGUCCUGAUCUUUCUUUCUCGACUAUCUGCUGCAAAUUAGUAGUCACUUCUUCUAUGUCUGGAGUCUCGAAUAGUAUGUCUCCCUCAUCCGAGACUUGACCUGUGCUGCGCGCCCAAACCCAGUUCUUGCUACGUUCAACCAUGGGGUCUACCAGCAGGGGCUUACCGGCCGCGGCAAAUCUUUGCUCGAUCUCCCGCCAUUGAUCGACAUGACCAGCGUAUCCGCUCGACCCCAAUCUAUGGGGAUAUCUGUUCUUCUUCGCGAGCUCGGACAUUUUUUUCCUCAAAGCCAAUGCUUCAGCUGUUGUACGAUCCGCAACAAACGUGUCCCAGUCAGCCUGCGAUAUAUGUCCAUAAUCCGUAAACGGUGGGAGAUUCUUCUGAACAUAAUCCCGAUUUAGAUCGGACUUCCACUGUCGCCAUCGAUCUCCCAUCUUUUUAAGUGCGUAAUCUCUCCCCCUGACCUCUGAUCCAGGAGGGAACACAAAAUACUUCUGCAACUCAUUCCAGAGAAGUGUCUUGAUGUUGUCGUCCACUGUUUCCCACAACUUGACAUUAAUGGGACAACGCGUCCUGACUAGAGUGCCACAGGCGUUGCUGAACUUGGACCGCACUAUCGGUGGCUCGAUGGGCUUCCCAUCCUGAUCGAGAGCAAUCACGUUGUAAGUUUCCUUGGGUAAUUUAUUCUUGCUUCUCUCACCACGUCUUUUUUUCCCACUCCCGCCUGCACUUGUAGAUGUCUCCGUACGUUCAGGUGCAGACGUAGCGGUGUCCAUCUCAACUUCUUGCUCUGUCCUGUUCCUCCCGGCUUUACGUUUCGAGCGGCGUCGGACUACCAUCUGCACAGAAUAGGUAACUCUAUACACCAUUAGGUUCAUGUCACAUCAUAGUUAGGGAAUAAUACAUGGCUAACGAUUUUCAGCACUUACGGCCUGUUCGAUAGGUAUGUAGUCCGGAUCAUCAUCGCGGGGGGCGACUUGUGUUAUUUCCAUUGGAAACGGGUCACUUGGUGUGCGCCACGUUUCUUCACUAGAAGCGCCUGGCUGCUUAUUGCUACCGGAAUUUUGAGGAGCGUUACCUUCUUGAGGCGCUAUUGGUGCGUUCGAUGGAACCUUUUCGUUCGACAUCUUCCAACUUGACGUAAAAAAAUUUGACAUAAGUCCCAAUUUUACGUAAGUCCCAAUUUAACGCAAUUUCACAUAAGUCUCAAUUUGACAUAAGUCCCAAUUUAACAUAAGUCCCAAUUAUACAUAAAUCUCAAUUUAACAUAAGUCACAAUUAUACAUAAAUCUCAAAUUAACACAGGUCACAAUUUAACUUAUUUUCACAUAAGUCCCAAUAACUUAAUUUCACAUAAGUCCCAAUUUAACAUAAGUCCCAAUUUCACAUAAGUCCCAAUUUAACAUAGGUCCCAAUUUAGCAUAAGUCACAAUUAAACAGAAAUCUCCAAUUGACAUAGGUGCCAAUUUAACAUAAGUCCCAAUUAUACAUAAAUCUCAGUUUAACAAAAAUCACAAUUAUACAUAAAUCCCAAUAUAACAUAAGUCUCAACUUAAACAUAAGUCACAAUUUAACAUAGGUGCCAAUUUAACAAAAGUCCCAAUUAUACAUAAAUCUCAGUUUAACAAAAAUCACAAUUAUACAUAAAUCACAAUUUAACAUAGGUGCCAAUUUAACAAAAGUCCCAAUUAUACAUAAAUCUCAAUUUAACAAAGGUCCCAAUUAUACAUAAAUCCCAAUUUAACAUAAGUCCCAAUUUAAACAUAAGUCCCAAUUUAAACAUAAAUCUCCAUUUAACAAUCCACAAUUAAACCUUCUCAAAAUUAAACAAUCCACAAUUGCACAUAUCACAAUCCACGAUGCACAAUUAAACAAUCCACAAUCCACAAUUGCACAUUUCACAUUUCUAAAAAGUAAAUGUUACCUAGCGACGGCGGGGACGACCUGGCGGCGGCGACGACCUGGCGGCGGCGAUGGCAACGGCGAGGGGGGAGAGGUCCGUGCGGCGGCGACGGCCACCUGGCGGCGGCGACGGCGACGGCGAGGGCAACGGUCCUGGCAGUGGCGUCGGCGACGGCGAGGGGCGGGGCGACUUCGGGGAGGAGCCGGCGGUGGCGGGGCGACUUUGGGGAGGAGCCGGCGGUGGCGGGGACGACGGCGACGGCGACUUGGGAAAUUUUGGCAGCCUGGCGGCUAGGGUUUCGCGGGAGCCGGGACUUAGAAAAUUUUGGCUCCCCGCGCUCCCUAUAUAUAGGCGCAGAUCAUCGCAUGCGGGCGGCUUAAGGGACCGCAUGGAAAAAUAUCUUUCCAUGCGGUCGACAUAAGCCGGCCGCAUGCGAAAAAGAUCUUUCCAUGCGGGCUGUUAAGCCAGCCGCAUGCGAAAAAGAUCUUUCCAUGCGGUCGACAUAAGCCGGCCGCAUGCGAAAAAGAUCUUUCCAUGCGGGCUGUUAAGCCAGCCGCAUAGAAAGAUCUUUCUACCAAAAAAACUCAUAUUUUUUUUUCUCUAAGUAAACUGUCCAUAUAUAUUUUUUUCCCAAUAUUUCGCCACAAUUAUACAUUCCAAAUGUUUUUGGCACUAAGAAAACUCAUGAAAAUUGCUCAAAACUCGUAAUCAAAUGUUAGAUGCUAAUGAUUACAACAUAAGGGGGACCUAAAUUCAUGCACAUACAUUUGCUAAUGAUUACAACAUAAGGGGGACCUAAAUUCAUGCACGUACAUUUGGAAUACAAUGAGAACUAAAGGUUACGAAAUAACUAUGACUUAAUAACCUUGGCAACACCAUCUGCUCGAACGUACGACAUAUUUGCUUCAUCGAUUGUUCUCUCAACCUUCUUAAUUCGCAUAGGAAGAUCAGUAAACAAUGGUACAUCGUCGAACUGGUUGUAAUCAUUGGGGUCUUCGAUGUUGUCGAUGCCGACGAUCUGUUGCUUUCCGGAUAUGACAAUAGUUUUUCUUUCAUCUGAAGGGUCCUUCACAUAAAACACUUGAGCCACACGCUCUGCUAAAACCCAUGGAUCAUCCUUGUGGCUUGUUUUACUGUGAUUGACUAUCGUUAGCCCGUAGUCAUCAACGGAAACCCCUAUUGUGUCUUUAACCCAUUCACAACGGAGCACAGGGAUCUGGAUGUUUAGGCCAUAGUCCAGUUCCCAUAUUUCUUGAAUGGUCCCAUAAUACGACCUCUUUUCUCCACUCGUGUCAAUCGCUUCGACACGGAUCCCACUGUUUUGUGUGGUGCUUUUCAUGUCCUUCGUAGUCGUACUCAAGGUAAAUCCAUUGAUGUCGUAACCUUGCCAUGAAUUGACAAUACUUGAAGGCCCACAUGCCAAUCUUUGUAAAGUAAGUUCCUCCACAGAAUCACCAACUGGCAAGUUUAGAUCUUUCAACCACAGAGGAAAGCGACGCUUGUGCUCUCUUGAUAUCCAAUCAUUGGACCGCCCUGGGAAGCAGGCUUUGAUUUCUUCUAGGUGUCGCUCAAUGAAUGGCUCAACGAUAGCGAGCUGUUGAAGAACGCUGUUGUGUGCCGCGGACACCUUUUUGUAAUCAUUAUCGAAGAACUGCUUCCUACCAACAGUACCCCUUCCAGACAAUCUACCUUCAUGUCGAUGAACAGGAAUGCCAAUGGCAUUAGCAUCCUUUAUGUAGUCCAUACAACACUCGACUGCCUCUUCAGUUGUGUAUCCCUCUAUCAUUGAUCCUUCCGGGUGAGCGCGAUUGCGUACAUAGCCUUUGAGGAUCGACAUGUAACGCUCAUAGGCCCACAUCUGAUGUAAGUAUAAUGGACCAAGUUCAAUAAUCUGAGGGACGAUGUGAACGAUCAAAUGCUCCAUCAUAUCUAAAAAUGAUGGUGGGAAAUACAUCUCAAGCUGGCAUACAGUCUCGACGGCAAAUGUCUGAAGCGGACCUAAUUCCAAAGGAUCAAAUACUUUCUGCGAAAUUCGAUUGAAAAAGUAGCACAACUUUGUUAUAACCACCUUUGUAUGGACUGGUUUGACUGCCCUUAUAGCAAUUGGUAGGAACACCGUUAGCAACCUAUGACAGUCAUGCGCAUUGUAUCCCGAAAUGGACAAAUCCUUCAUUGAUACUAGCUUCCAGAUGUUCGAUGCGAAACCAGUAGGCACUCUAACCCCUUGUAAACAUUUACAGAAGGCUUUUUUCUCAUCAAGUGUCAACGAGUAACAAGCAGGAGGAAUCUCGGUCUUCCCAUUUGGCAGCAGUACUGGGUGAAGGUCAUGCCGUAUGGACAAAUCUACAAGGUCGUUACGUGACUUCAAUCCAUCCUUCGUUUUACUCGGGAUGUCCAGCAAUGUGCCAACGGUGCUAUCAAACACGUUCUUCUCGAGGUGCAUAACAUCAAUUGCAUGUCGAAUCUCUAGGUCCUUCCAGUAAUCUAAGUAUUUAAAGAAAAUUGAGUGCUUCUUGAAAGGCGACGCAGUACCGUUGUCACCAUCAGCUUUCUUCCUCUUUACUGUCUUCUUCUUUCCCUUUCCAUAUACAACCUUAAUCUUCUUUGUUAUCUCAUACACGUAUGUACCACCUCUUGCUACUGGGGCAGUGUCAUUCUCCACUGUAUUAUCGAACAAUCUAGCCAUCUUACGGUACCUAUGUCUUUGUGGUAGGAACCGUCGAUGUCGCAUGUACACUGUCUUCAAAGACGACGUCAGGUAUUUGUAUGAAGUUUUCUCCAGACAUAUCAGACAUCCAGUCUUCCCUUUAAUCUGCCCAGAUAAUGAAAAGUUUGCAGGUAGGUCAUUGAUGGUAACGAAUAUGAUCGCACGUAGAUUGAAGUGCUCCCGCUUAAACUCAUCCCAUAGUCGUAACCUCUCUUUCCAAAGCUCCUCCAUGUCCUCCAUCAAAGGCUCAAGGAAAACAUCUAUGUCGAUUCCAGGUUGGUUUGGACCUUGUAUGAGGAUAGUGAGUAGAAUGUACUUUCGUUUCUGACAUAUCCAUGUUGGAAGAUUAUACAUUGUGAGAAGGACUGGCCAUGUGCUGUGCGAGCUGCUUAAGUCACCAAACGGGUUCAUUCCAUCAGUGCUCAACGCAAACCUUACAUUCCUAGGAUCCUUAGCAAAUUCUGGGUGUUUUGCAUCAAAUGUCUUCCACUGGCGAGCGUCGGCGGGAUGUCGAAUCAUACCAUCUAUUUUCCGGCUCUCUUGAUGCCAUCUCAUCAACUCAGCAUCAGUCGGGUUUGAGUACAGACGCUUCAGGCGGUCCUUAAUUGGUAGGUACCACAUCACCAUUGAAGGAAUCUUCCCGCGCUUACCCUUAUCAGAAUCUGGAUCGGUACACUCUGAAUCUACGGGCCCAUUCCCCGUUUUAUACCGACUUGUGCCACACGUUGGGCAACAUUCCAAUUCCGCAUAUUCUUUACGGUAUAAUAUGCAGUGAUUCUUACAAGCAUGAAUCUUUUCUACACCAAGAGAUAAAGGACAUAUGAGUUUCUUCGCUUGAUACGUGUUCGAUGGUACAAAGUUAGGCUUAGGAAGCAACACACACAACAAACUCAUCAGAUUAUUAAAACUUGUGUCCGACCAUCCAUGUUUAGCCUUCAAUCUCAGAAGUUCAAGCACUGAACGCAAGACUGUGAAAUCCUUAUCACAUCCCUUCGUUUCAUCGUAAAGAAGAUCCUUCGAUGCCUUCUCUAAUGCUUGCCAAUUCUCCAAUCCUCGUGACCUGCCCGCUAGCACCUCUGGUUCAACAUGGCGUAGCAUAUCCUCUAAAUCAAAACCACCAUCGAAAUCAUCACUAUCGGUGGAAACAUCGACAACCAUUCUUUCACGCGACAUGUCUUCGAUUAUAAAAUUCUCUGCCUCACUCAUCUCGAAACUUAACUCUUCAUCGUCAUCUUCCGGAUUGGCGAAUUCCCCGUGAUAGGUCCAAACCUUGUAGUUGGCGGUGAAUCCGUACUCCAUUAUGUGACCCAAUAUUUCACCAGGAUCUACCAACAAUUUCUGAUUCUUGCAAUGACGGCACAGACAAAAGAUCUUUGUCAUAUUCUCCCUCAAAGCAUGCUCCUUAGCCUGAUCAAUAAAUUUUGAUGCUUCCUUAAUAAAUAUCGGCUGCGUUCUCCGCAUCUCAUACAUCCAUGACGACCGAUCCAUCUAAUUAUAUAAAGGCAAAAAAGUUACAGAUAAAAAAAAUAGACCGCAGGUAUUUCAUACAAAAGUUUAAAUGCAUUUGUCUCCCAAAAAAAAAUACAACAAUACAUGUAACUAGUAUGUACAAUUGAUUACAUGCAAAAUUUGCCCAUCAAAACAUAUAUUUUGAAGCUAGAUUUUGCAAAAAAUAGUUAGAACAAACCUUGUCAAAAUAUUAAAAAAACUCCACUUUCCACCAACGAAAUAUAACAAAAAUGGAGCCAAAUGAAGCAGGAUAGAGAGUUCUUCACCUUUCGUAUAGAGUUCAAGUAAAAAUUUCGAGUUGAAAACCUCCCCCCUAAUUGGGGCUUGCUUUAGGAGAGAGAAAGCUUCGUUUUCAAAUGGUCAAGCUCGGGCCUGGAGGAGCAUAUAUGGCCGAUCAUCGCAUGCGGUCCCUUAAGCCAGCCGCAUGCGAAGAUCCAUUAUCGCAUGCGGCUGUCUUAACCAGCCGCAUGCGAUAAUGGAUCUUCGCAUGCGGCUAAUCAACCCGCCCCCGGGGGGGCGGUUUUUGCAGGCGCCGCCACAAGCGGCCCGCAUGGAACCUACCGACCCCCCCUCGUACAGAAAAACGAUUUUUGUAGUAGUGGUUCUCACUUCCGGGGGAUUAAAAUAAGGCAAAUUUUGCUACAGGACACUACUUAUAUGUGGUUUUAGCCCUAAGACAUUGCCCAAACUCAUUUUUGGUGGAAAACACUCCAUAAACUUGGUAAUUUACCAGUGGACACAGCGCCGAUUAAAAUAAUAAUUUCCGGUUGGAGAGGAGAGAGAAAUCACGUGAAAUGUCAAAAAUGCCCUUAGGCCCACAUGUCAGCUCUAUCUCCUAUCUCUAUUCUCAUCUCUUAGAGGCGCACGGGGCGGUGUCGGUCGCGGCGGAGAUGGCGAGGAAGGAGGCUGGCAGAGUGGAGCAGGGCGUCGGCUGCGGCAGAGCAGGAGUGGAGCGCGGCGGCGGCGGUGGACGAGCGCGCGGCCAUCGCCGCUGGCACCAACAUCUUGUGCGGCCUCAUGGCGCCCAACGGCAGCCACGCCGCCAUGCGCUGGGUGGUCCUUCAACAACGAGACCGUCGCCAACCGCUCCCAAACCGUCGGUCGCUGCCUCUAAUGGGGCCCUUCCUUCCGCGCCCUCUCCGCCGGUGGCCCUCACGUUUGCGGCCUCUCCGACGCCCACGACCCGACGUGCUGGGAGUGGCCGGGGCUGAGCUUGCUCAAGGGCCUCGACUUCUCCCGCAUCGCCCUCGGCCACGACUUCCUCUGUGGCGUCGUCAAGGGCAACGGCUCCGCCAUGACCUGCUUCGGUGGUGGCAUGGCGACACCUACGUUCGCCGGCGCUUCCAUCCCAUGCCUGCGCGGUCGACGACGAUGGCGGUGUUGGAAUCAGCCUAGGAACACAAGAACAGAGCUCUCUUUCUCUCACACACAAGAAUGGCUGGAGGUUGAAGAUGAACAGUGGAGUUUCGGCGACGAACGCCGCGGAGCCUAUCGCUCCUGUAUCUUGGCUUUAUUACUCACUGAAAGUUCACACGGCACUCACUAAAUACGAGCCUACACAGCCAGUUUUAUACCCACGGCGACGCAGCGCCCACGCACCCACUUAGCGAGCUUCACGCGCACGUACGCAUGGCAGCCUGGACGACCUGGUUUCACGCGUUCGUGAGCCACAUACUCCUCCACAUGAACGGGCCUCCAUCCUUCUCGCAUGGCGUGCUCCUGCAUGCGCUCAACCGCCAGGACUUGGCCUCUGGACUCACAUACAUCGAACACACACACACAACGUGUACAGCACCACCACAAUGCAGCACACACGCACGACUCCUGGACUCACGACGCCAUGCGCCACUGCCGCGCCGUGGCAAAACGCAGGCACGGCCAUGACAACGCGUUUAUUCCUAACAAUCUCCCCCUAAACGCGACACCACACGACACCAUAGACUCGACCUAUCUCCCCCUAAACGUGACAUGGUGAACUCGGUCUUCACAGCAGUGUCGGCUCGUCGUCGACGUCGACGAGCAGCGCUCUCUCCUUCUUCUUCUUCGGGCAGUCCCGCGCCAUGUGACCGCGCACGCCGCAGUCGAAGCACUUGCCUCGGUAGCGUUUCUUACCGCGCCCCGAGCUUGUGCUACUGCCAUCGUCGUCGUCGUCGUCGUGGCCGCCGCCCUUCUCGCCAACGCCGCCGUGGGCAUGUUCCUUGCCACGGCGUUGACGCCGCCUCGCCUCCCAUUGCUCCUCCGUGAGCAGGAGUUGCCCAGCGUGCUCCGCGCUAGACGCCGCUUGAUCCUCAGCGUCCGCGUCCUCUGCCACCUGCAACCGGCCGACGAGCUCCUCGAUCUCCAUGGUGUCGAUGUCGGCGAGCAUCUCAAUCGCCACCGCGACUUGCUUCAGCCUCUUGGGGACCACGCGCAGAACUUUCUUCACGACGCGACUGUCCUCCAUCUCCUCACCAAGCUCGCGCAGGCUGGCGACGAGCCCGUUGAUGCGCAUUGCGAAGUCGCCGACGUUCUCUCCGUCACGGAACGCCAUGUUCUCGAACUGCUUCAUGAGACGUUGGACACUCGUAGCCUUCACGCGGUCGUCGCCAGCGUGCAUCUUCUUCACUACGUCCCACGCCUCCUUCGCCGACUUCUUCACGGCGAGCCCGGCCUUCAUCUCCCUUGGAACGGCGCGGAUGAUCGUGGCCAGCGCGCGCCGAUCCUUGCCCCGGUCCUUGCUCACCGCCUCCACCGCGUCCCACUGCUCCAACGCCUCCAAGCUCACCUGCAUCACCAAAGACCACUCGUGGUAGUUGGUCCUUGUCAAUAGCGGGAGCUCCACGACGCUGGAGUUGGCCAUGACGCGCUCGGCGGCACCCGAGCUCGAGCCUUCUCCGAUCUUCGGUGGCGAGCUAUCUCCGAUCUUCGUCAUCCGGCUCUGAUACCAAUUGUUGGAAUCAGCCUAGGAACACAAGAACAGAGCUCUCUUUCUCUCACACACAAAAAUGGCUGGAGGUUGAAGAUGAACAGUGGAGUUUCGGCGACGAACGCCGCGGAGCCUAUCGCUCCUGUAUCUUGGCUUUAUUACUCACUGAAAGUUCACACGGCACUCACUAAAUACGAGCCUACACAGCCAGUUUUAUACCCACGGCGACGCAGCGCCCACGCACCCACUUAGCGAGCUUCACGCGCACGUACGCAUGGCAGCCUGGACGACCUGGUUUCACGCGUUCGUGAGCCACAUACUCCUCCACAUGAACGGGCCUCCAUUAUUCUCGCAUGGCGUGCUCCUGCAUGCGCUCAACCGCCAGGACUUGGCCUCUGGACUCACAUACAUCGAACACACACACACAACGUGUACAGCACCACCACAAUGCAGCACACACGCACGACUCCUGGACUCACGACGCCAUGCGCCACUGCCGCGCCGCGGCAAAACGCAGGCACGGCCAUGACAACGCGUUUAUUCCUAACAGGCGGCAUGUCAUGCUGGGGCGAAGAUACUCGGACAUGAAGUCCAUGGCGCUGGGCCACAACACCACGUGCAUCCUCGACGGCGAUGACAUGGUGCGGUGCUGGGGCGUGCGGGUGCCCGAGGAGUACAGGCGCGCGUCGUUCGUGUCCAUCGUGGCCGACGGUGACACUGUCUGCGACGUCGUCACCACCAACUUCUCCGUCGUGUGCUGGGGCAACGAGAGGUUCCAAGGGAGGCACCUCAUCUUCAACGACACCAUGCCCGGCGCGUGCGCCACCGUGGGCAACUACGGCUUCGUCCCGGCUCCGCCGCGCUAUGUGGCAACGAUGGCGGCGAGGGCAUGGGGGCAUAUGAGAAGAGGUGAGAAGAGAGAUAGGAGAUAGAGCUAUAUGUAGGACCAAGGGCAUUUUUGACAUUUUACGUGAUUUCUCUCUCCUCUUCAACUAGAAAGUAUUAUUUUAAUCGGCACGGUGUCCACUGGCAAAUUACCAUGUUUAUGGAGUGUUUUCCCCCAAAAGUGAGUUUGGGCAGUGUCCUAGGGCUAAAACCAUACAUAAGCAGUGUCCUAUAGCAAAAUUUGCCUUAAAAUAAAGAGCUCCCUUGGUUCCUAUCACAAAUAAGUGUCAUUUUAGAUAAUAAUAAUAUGAUCAAAUUACGAAUUACUUCUAUAAAAACAAUUAUUAGCAAACUUAUAAUAUAUCUGAAUUAUUUUCUAGGACAAAUCUAACUAUAUCUCUUUCGAUAUGACUUUAAUUCAAAAGUUAAAUAAUAGAGAUUUGCUCCGGUACAGCAAAAAGUAAUUCAAGGUACCGGUACCUCACGGUACCAAAUCGUUUCCGGUCAUUGAAUCUAGCGGGGCAGGAUGGACAUUGUUAGAUCCAACGAUGGGAAACGAUUUACACCAUGAGAUACCAGUACAUUGAGGUUUUUUUGUUAGACCAGAGCUAAUCUCUGUCUACCAUGGCACCAAGAUGAGAAGAUCUACGGACAUAGGGAGUAAUUAACCACAGGAAAGCCCGACGAAUAGGAAAAACCUGACCUACAAGACAAAGCUACUAGGCCUAAAAGGAAGAAGGAUUCGACAACCCCCCCCCCACCUCCCUUCCGUCUCCGACGGCCCUCCAUCGGUGUAAGGGAAGAAGAGGGGCCAGGAAGGAGAACCGUGGGGAGGUGUUAUUUCGCUGAGAUUUGCUCUGGUCCAAUAAAAAGUACCUCGAGGUACCUGUACCUUACAAUACCAAAUAAUUUCCGAUUGUUGAAUCGAACAAUGCCCAUCCUAUCCAACUAGAUCCAACGAUCGGAAACGAUUUGGUACCGUGAGGUACCGGUACCUCAAGGUACAUUUUGUUGGACCAGAGCAAAUCUCUAUUUCGCUAGAAGCUUGGCGAGAGCUUCUGAGCUCUAAGGCCAGGCCAACGGAAGGUAUUGCCCCACAAAAAAGUUGAUGCCAAGUGGGAUGAAACCACACUUGAGAUAUUCCUCACACAGUGUAAGUCAUACAUCCAUCUUAAUUCUGCAAUUCAGUACAGUCGGUCACAUUUUGUAUUUAAACCCUUAGAUUAUUUUUAUUUGCAUAUAAGUCUAAUAUUUGCUGUAUGCCCCCUAAAAAUCAUAAACAUAUAUAAAGGCCCACCCCUUCCCUCUUCUUCCACCUCUCUCUCUCUCUCCGCUUGAGCUCCACUCUCCCUCCCCAAUCGACGCGACGACGGUGGAUGGAGGCGCCGGAGGAGGGGAUCGAUGCAGCAGUAAGGCGUGGAUUGACGCGACGGCGGCGGAUUGACGUGGCGACGGCGGAUGGAGGCGCCGGAGGUGGGGAUCGAUGCGGCGGUGGUGGAUCGAUGCAGUGACAACGUGGAUCGACGCAGCGACUGUGGGGAUCAACACGACAACGGCAGAUGGAGCCGCUGAAGGUGGGGAUCAACGUGGCGGCGGUAGGGAUCGAUGCGGCGGCACUCGGGGUGGCAGAUCGGGUCGUCGGUUGCCGGCGGAGCUUCCCUGGUAGGCCCUUCUCUCCAGUCCAAACCCUCUCCAUCUUCUUCCCCGGCGCGGGAGCAGCACCAGCACAGGGCAAUGACUCGGGGUGAGGCAUCUCCCUAACACAGCUCCUCGCCCGUUCCUCACCAAAAGCUGACGAAACUACGGGGGUGCGGUCCUGACCGAGCUGGCGCGAAUAUUCCUCUCAGGAGGGGUGAGACCACGCUCUAGCGUGGAGCGGUGGCCAUGGCCUAACGAUCGCUGCACUAUGUUGGUCAGUUGGUGACGGCAGCCGCUGGAUUCGAGUCUGACGUGAAUGCUCUCAGGCGGUCAUUGCUUUUCUUUUCUUUUUCUGUCCAUAUAAACUCUACGUAGCAUAGUCGAUGCUAUUCCUCAGCCCUGAAGAGAAAUUUUUGCCAAAAACCCUAUAGAGCUAGCAUAAAUUAAAAGGCCUCCAACAAACUCAGGUUGUUUCAGGUCAUCUUCCCAACACCUUCUGUUGCAUAAAGACAAUGAUCACUGACAUCAGGCAAUGGCAGCAGUAUAUAUGCCACCUGACGACCAAAAGACUUGUCACCAAACAAGCCCCACAUGCAUGUGCCAUAUUUAGUCAUUUAAUUAGAUCUUCAUUUCCAUCCAGCGUACUUAAAAGCUCCCCAAAUUAACUAAGCGACACUUGCAGUAAUCUAUAACGAGUAACCAAAAUUCGAUUAGCACUGAGCCAAUCUAGGAUAAUGCAACUGAAGUCCUUAAUUGUAAACAACAACCUCAGAUGACCAGUCUCGAGCUUAGCUACUACCUGCUCCUUCCCAUGUUGACUCUGUUUAAUUCCACAUCGUCUUCCUUGAUCCCACCUUAUAUUAAUCCAGAGCCUCGCUUAAACUAAAUCACUCUUGUCACUUAAUUAAUCACAGGAACCGCGGCUAAACACGUCGCGUGGCUGAUUAAUUACUCCCGCACAUAUAGCCUAAUGAUCAGUAAUCGCUGGUUGGAUUAAUUGUUAGUACACGCUUGUGUGGCUUUGACGCAUGUGAGCCACACGUAGAAUUCGUUUGAAAUCACAUGUAGAAAUUGUAGAAAUUAAAUAUGACUUCGAGGGAGCGUAGAACUUUGCAGUUUGCACCCUCUGCUUGUGUGUAUAAAUAGGUGCAUCGCGAGUUCAAUGGCCACUCAGAUCAUUAGCGAGAAAGCAAGCGAUUAGUUGUUUUGUUUCGGUGACUAGCUAAUUAAGCUCGCCGCUAAUCACUUGGGAUUAAGCUACUUGUUCGACGCUAAUCUCCACCAUUUGGUCUUGAAAAACACUAAUCACUUGUCUUAAUCCCUUUGGUUAGUAGCGUACUUGUGCUAAUGGCGAAGUCAUCGUCCCUCGUGACGAAGGUUUCGGCGCAGCGGCGGCGGCGAGUGCACCGUCCUCGCCGUUCUCCGACCAAGCCGGAGCGCUCUGCCGCCGCCGUGGCGCUGAGCCACGAGAAGAUUCUUCUCGCCGGCGUUGAUGCAGCCGCCGACAUGUUCGGUUCCCUCGCGGGUUGUCCCUCGUCGCCGGAGUAUCCGGUGGUGCCGGACAUGGACGACCGCUACGUCGACGGCGCCGUGGAUGACGCUCCGGCGGCGGCGGCGGGCCGACGCGCGUCGGACGAGACGCUGGCGGUGCACGCCGGGGAGAAGCUCGGGAGCGGCGCCGCUGAGACGGACUCGAUCGCGACGCCGAUCGUGAGCGGCACGACGCACUGGUUCAGGGACUCGGCGGACCUCAUCGCGUUCCGGGAAGGCCGGCGGCGGAGCUUCGAGUACGGGCGGUACGGCAACCCGACGGUGAAGGUGCUGGAGGAGAAGAUCAGCGCGCUGGAGAGGGCGGAGGCGACGCUGGUGACCUCCUCCGGUAUGAACGCCAUCGUCGCCACGCUGCUCGCCCUCGUCCCUCCCGGCGGCCACGUCGUCGCCACCGCCGACUGCUACAGCGAGGCCCGCGCAUUCAUCCGCGACAAGCUCUCCAACAUGGGCAUCACGGUAUGUAAACACCAUUAAUGGCAGCUUCAUUCAUCAGAGCAUGGCAUUGCUUGCAAUCUGUCUCUUAACAAUGGCGUUCGUCCCUUGUAUUUGCAGUCGACGUUCGUCGAUCUUGACGACGACAUGGAGGCGCUGGAAUGUGUUCUUGAUGAGAGCGAGGUGACGAUGUUCUACGCCGACUCGAUGACGAACCCUCACCUGAAGGUCGUCGACGUGACACGCGUGGCGGAGCUGUGCCACCGGAGAGGCGCGCUGGUGUGCAUCGACAGCACGCUGGCAUCGCCCAUCAACCAGAAGCCGCUCGCCCUCGGCGCCGACGUGGUCCUCCACUCCGCCACCAAGUACAUCGCCGGCCACCACGACGUCAUCGCCGGCUGCGUCAGCGGCUCGGAGGCCCUCAUCUCGCGGAUCCGCGCGUGGCACCACGACCUCGGCGGCGCCAUCAGUCCGGUAACCAAACCAAAAACGAAAACAAAACGAAUUUACACAAAUUCACUUUAUAUCAUUCCAAAACUGAUUGUAACUUUAUUUGUCGGUUCAGAACGCGGCGUACAUGAUCAUUCGGGGAUUGAAGACGAUUGCGCUGCGGGUGGAGGCGCAGAACAGGACGGCGCUGCGGAUGGCGCGGCUGCUGGAGAAGCACCCCAAGAUCGAGCGCGUCUACUACCCUGGGCUGGAGAGCAGCCUGUGGCACGGCGUCGCGACGAGGCAGAUGGCCGGCGCCGGCGGCGUGGUCAGCUUCGAUGUGGCGUCGGACUUGCGCGGCGUGAUGAGGUUCGUGGAUGCGCUGGAGUUGCCUCUCAUCGCAACGUCGCUCGGUGGAUGUGAAAGCCUUGUGCAGCAACCGGCCGUCAUGUCCUACUGGUAAUUAAUUAAGCUCGUGUCAUGUAACAGUAGCAAAAGGAGUACGUAACUAAGUGCUGAAUUAAUUGCAUGAUGAUAAUGUUUUGAUUAAUGCUAAUAUUUAGGUUGUUAAUUGUUUUCAGGGGUAAGAGUGAGGAGGAGAAGGCGAAGAAUGGGAUCAAGGAUAAUUUUGUGAGGUUCAGUUUUGGGAUUGAGAAGUUUGAGGAUCUCAGGGACGACAUACUCCAGGCCCUAGAGAAGAUUUAGUUUAGGGCUAGCAUUUAGUAACCUGAUUUAUAAUCUUGGAUUUUAGGCACACAAUUAAUUUGUUUAUUCUUCAAUUCAAUCGGGACAGUUCGUUUGCUCUAGGCUUUUUCUUCAAAGGAAGUUAUUUAACAUGCAUAUAGGAUUAAUUCUUUCAUUUGUAUACAAGGGAAAUGCUGAAAUAUAUAGACUAUUUUUUUUUUCAAACGGUUUACAGGAGAUGUUCUGUAGUACAGUGACUGAGAAAGAUGCAAAAUAAUAGAUGCAAUUAAUCCGAUAUUGUCUUCCAAACGAAAAGACUGGGAAUCUGGGAAUCCUUUAUUCAGUUGUGCCUCAACAAUUCAAUGAAAUUAACACUGAAUAAAAUAGCGACCAAGGUUUUUUUUAUUAAAUUUUGUAGAACCCAACCUAUUACGGUCCAAGUUACACAAAACUAUAUGGAAUUUUUGUAUGUGGCACAUAACCCUAGCUAUUUUUAUCUGAAAGUUUCACAAAACUACACCAUUAACAUGCUCAUAUAUCAAAAUUUUAAAAAGUGAACGUAACAUUUACAUGAUAGUAAAUAAACUAAUAAAUAUGAUAUGUAAUUGUAUAACUAAAAAAUGUAGUAACUCAAAGUCAAAAUGGUUAAUAGUGUGGUUUUGUAAAACUUUAAUUUAGGACUAUAAUAUAUUAAGUUUUGUGCCACGUAACAAAAUUACUGUUGUUAAUUUUGUAUAACUAGGAUAAUAAGUUGUUUUUUUUAUGAAAUUUACUCUUUUUUCUCAAAUACUAAGAAACCUUCUAAGUACAGAACGGGAUCAUAUAUAUUAUGCAUAAUUAAUUCGGAAGUAUAUAACUUGCCUAGUUCAUGGAAAAAAAGGGUGGUAGUUCUGACACUUCUCUUCUUUUUUUUUUUAAACCCCAGUGGGGUGUGUAUUUGUAUUAAAGGUGAGGGAAAUACUAUACAAUAGCCGUGAAGACUAGGAGAUUACAAAAGUGAGAAAAAAAAAGGAAAAGCCUGGGGAUGGAGGUGGCGACCACUAGAGAGGGUAAAAAGCAUGUCUUGAUUUACAUAUUGUCGAUUGUGCUACCACGGGUGUCCGAAGGCAGGGAUUGGAUGCCCUUCGCUCCACUUGCGUGCCAUAGCCAUGUUUCAUCAAUUGCCCGGUUAAUGAUUCCCUACGGUGGUGUUUUUAUGUUUCGGAACACCCUGCUAUUCCUCUCUUUCCAAAUUUCCCAGGAGAACAGGAUUAGAAUUGAUUUGGCAUAGUUCCUUUUUUGUUUGGCCAUGGCAUGGAUGGUCUGAAUCCACUAGUCCUCCAGGGAUGUUGUAUGGGGCUAGUGUAGCGGUUGCAGCUCGGGGAUCCUCUAGUCUUGUUGCUACUGAAUCCCAAAUUGUCCUUGUGACCGAGCAUUCGUAGAAGAGGUGGUGUGCCAUCUCGAGGUUUCUGAAGUAGAGUUGGCAGAAAUAAUUGUUUGGACACUCCCUCUCUUGUAGCCUCUCCGCCAUCCAUAUUUUGUUUUAUAGGAGAAGCCAGGUGAAGAAUUUGUACUUUGACAGCGCCCAACACUUCCAGAUUACAUUUGUUGAAGCUGACUGCAUGCUUACUAGGAACUGCAUUUGAUAGGCUAAUUUAGCGGUGUAGGUUCCUGAUGGUGUCCAUUUCCAGCGAAUACUAUCCUCCACGCCCUGAGUUAGGGUAGUGUCUAAGGACCAAAGCAGCUCAAAGACUUGGAAGAAUUCAUACACGAGGGUUGUGAUCAGGUUGUGCCUAAUGUCGUCGAUCUACUUGUUACCGUCCAAUGCCUCGGCAACUGUUCUUUUUUUGUUUCUUUUCACAUGGCAGUAGAGAGGUUUGGUGGCAUUGCUUUUAGUGUGGUACAGGAUGCCCACGGGGAUUCCUAGAAGGAUGCUUUUCUUUCCAUCUCCAAUGAGCACCGAUGUUGAAGUUGCAAAGAGUUCCUUGUCCUGGUCAUAGCAGGGGUUUGGCAUGCCAAUCCAUGGUUUGUCGGUGGUGGUCCAUUCAUACCAUAGCCAUCGCUAUUAGAGCGCCCGUCCCAUCUUACGAAGGUUUGAAAUUCCCAAGCCUCCAUAUCUUAACGGCCUGCAGACCUGUUUCCAAUUUACUUUUCAAAGGAAUUUUCUUCUAGCUUUGUAAAUUUCUUGGAUUAUUUUCUUUGGUAUUUUCAAUGCUAUCAUGGCGUAGAUCGGCAUAGAGCUGAGUACGGAGAUGACAAAGCUCUCUUCUGCCUCCGGCCGAUAGUAGUUUCUUCUUCCAGGUGGCUAACUGUGCCUUGAUUUGAUCAAUGAGGUAUUGAAGGUGGACCUUCCGGAGUCUCCUGAUUGUGAGUGGUAUUCCAAGAUACUACAUGGGGAAGGUUGUCCGCGGGCCAGUGAAGUUGUGCAGGACUUCAUCUAGCUUAAUUGCAUCACAUUCUAUUAGAUUCACAGAGCUCUUGCUGAGGUUCACCUUCAGUCCGGUGGCUCCACUGAAGUUGUGUAGGAUAGAAAUCAGGUUGUCCACAUCCUGGCAUGAAGGCUUGAUGAAGAUUGUAGCAUCAGGGAGCAUCUGAAGCACGCGCUGCGAUCUGCGAGCUCAAGUGAGGUGGCCAUUGAUCAGUUGCGAUUUUGAGAAGCCUGUGGAGGGGGUCCAUGGCAAGGAUGAAUAGGUAUGGGGAUAGGGGGUCACCCUGCCGUAGCCCCCGAUGGUGGUCUAUCCUCUCCCCUUCAAUUUCAUUGAGGGAGACUCUGGAAGAGGAGGUCGAGAGGAUUAGGGCCACCCAGUCUCGCCAUUUUGCACUAAACCCCAUCUUCUCAAGCAGAGUGAGCAUGUAUUCCCAGGAUACUGAGUCAAAAGCCUUGGCGAUGUCAAGCUUGAAAAACAGAGUGGGUUUCUUUGUUCUGUGCAUUUGCCUGGCCAGGUUGGAGACAUAUAGAAAGUUGUCCUAAAUGCAUCGCAUUUUGAUGAAUGCGCUUUGCGCUUGUGAGAAGACUAUGUUGAUCUGUCUUGAUAAACGUAUUGCCGGUAUAAUGGCAUGUGUUCAUUCGGGAAAUUUGUAAACCUAAAAUAGUAUCUAGUCUACAGUGUUGACUGUUAUUUCAGCUAUGGCCCCAAGGUGAUCUAGGCAAUGGCAGUUGCAACGGCUGGAUGAAUAAUUCAAUUUUGAGUUUGUUAUGCAUGCACGAGAGAUGUGGCAAGCUGCAGGAGUAGGCGACUGCGUCAGGCAUGCGUUGUGGGCGUGAGUUUUGCACGGCAUUGGAUCCAGGAGUUCCGGAUCGUGGGAUGGCGCGAUUGUAGGCUUGGAUUCCUUUUUCUCUGUUAUUGGAGUAUAAGUAGCAGUAGCUAAAAUUUCCAUUUGUAAGUUUUUCUAUUCAAUUGAAUGAAAGAAACCAGAAAAUUGUCCCACAAAUUCCUUCUCUCUCGUGAUUCUCUGAAACUCUGAAAUACUCUGCUUCUCUGUUUUGAAUUUCUUCCUGUAUUCUUCAGUCUUUUUGUCUGUUGCCGUGCCGGACAUGUGCAGUGUGCGCACAAAGUGUUGGAUCAGGUGAUUAGCAGCUAACAAGUGGUAUCAGAGCUUCUCAGGUUGAUGGCGGAUCUGGCACUAUGGCGUUGGUUCCGGUGACGGCGGACCCGGCGAUGGGGAGCUCAGGAAGUGCUUUCCUUUACCCACAGCUCAUGUCAACCAACUACACUAGUUGGGUAAUACGUGUGCAGGCUAUGAUGGAGGAUCAAGGCAUAUGGGAAGCAAUCGAGCCGGCGGCCGGGGCGGCCGUCGACCCGAGGAAGGACAAGAAGGCGAAGUCUCAUCUUCUCCAGUCGCUGCCGGAGGAUCUCUUGAUGCAGGUUGCAAAGAAACGCUCGGCAAAGGAGGUUUGGGACUGCCUCAAGACGAGAUUCGUCGGGGUGGAUCGGGUGCGCGAUGCACGCCUGCAGACACUCAAGGGAGAGUUCACUAGCAUGGUGAUGGAGGCCGGGGAGACGCUGGACCAGUACGCCGGCCGGAUCACCACGAUGGGGGUCCGGUACUCUGCUCUCGGCACGACGUUCACUACAACAAAACCAUUGUUUUAAGACGUUUCACUUAAGUCAUUCUAUAAGUCGUCUCUUUUUUAUAAGUGAAAUUAAAAUAGGGACGAUGUUUGAGACGCUUUAUUAGUUGAGGACAUAGUUUAAGACGCUUUACAGGUUAGCACAAAAUUAAAUCGUUUAGAGAUGAAUAUUGAGACGUUUUUGGAACAUCUCAUGUGUAGAAAUGAGUUUUGAGACGUUUUUAUUAUAUCCGUGUCAUCGUUAUUAGAUAAUAUAUAAUUAUUUAUAUAGAGAAAGAAGAAAAUAAACACACUGAUCCUAAUCGUCAUCAUCAAAUACCAUUAUAAUAAUAUUAUAAUUAUUUGGACCAAAAAAAAUAAAUAUUUAAUAUUCAGUCUUAGAUUAAAAAAGAAGAGAACUGCUACAGGACGCAUGUUUGCAGAGUUGCAAUAUAAAAAAAACUAUCUAUUUACCUUCAAGAUUGUCACGUUAAUGACUUGGUUAGUGCAUGAACUUUGUAACCUGCAGGUGCUGUGUUCGAGCCCAGAUGAAAGCAUUAAUAUCAAAUAUAUUAAGAUGUGCGUGCCUAUAUAAAAGCGUCUCUAUAUAUUGUAGAGAUGCAAUUUACACGUCUCUAGCAACGUCUUAAAUAAUAUAGGUACGCUUUAAAAAGCGUCUCCAUAAUUUUGAGACGGUGCAAACAGAGACGAUCCUACGACGCUUUAUAAAAGCGUCUCAGUUAUCUGUGGGAGACGAAAUAAAACGUCUCUAUCUUACAAAUAAGAUGUUUCUUUUAGGUUGUUUUGUUGUAGUGGUUGAACGACGCCGCCAUGGUGAAGAAGCUGUUCGACACUGUCCCGGAGAAGUUCGUUAGCCUCGUCGCAGGGAUCGAGCAAUUUUACGAUGUUGACACCAUGCCGUUCGAAGAAGCGGUAGGUCGCCUCAAGGCGUAUGAAGAGUGGAUGUGGAAGAAGAAGGCGACCGCCGGCGGAGUGACCGCUGACGGGCAAGUUCUGCUCACUCAGGGCGAGUGGGAGGCACGCUUCAAGAAAGGCGGGGGAGAAACCUCGUCGCCACAGAAGAACAAGCCCUCUGGUGAGGGGGCGAACCACGGCCAGGCCGAGCGUGGUCGUGGUAGGGGUCGCGGACGCGGCGGGACGCAGAGAAGCGGUGGCGGCUCUAGCGGUGGUGGCCGCGACAAGAGCCACAUAAAGUGUUUCAAUUGUGAGGAGUUUGGCCACUACUCCACACAGUGUCCACACCCCAAGAAGAAGAAGGCUGAAGCUCAUCUUGUGCAAACGGAGGAUGCUGGCCCAGCUCUGUUGCUUGCCGUGACAGAGGCAGUGCAGAACGCGCCACGCCAGGACGCGCACUGUGGGCUGGUCGUGCACGAGGAGCGUGUGUGGCCUCGCCUGAUGCUGGCAGAGAAGGGCGCAGCUGCUGGUGAUCUGUGGUACCUGGACAAUGGUGCCAGCAAUCAUAUGUCUGGAGAUCGUCGGAAAUUCCGGGAACUAGACGAGACCAUGACGGGGCAGGUCAGGUUCGGCGACGCCUCGUCAGUGCAGAUAAUGGGGAUGGGAUCCAUCCUUUUCUCAUGCAAGAACGGUGACCAGUGGUUGCUCGACGACGUCUACUAUAUCCCCAGCCUCUGCUGCAACAUGGUGAGUUUGGGGCAGCUAACUGAAACUGGCCACCGUGUUAUGAUGGAUGGAGAUGACCUCAAGGUGUUCGACAAAAAUCCUUGGCGAUUGGUGAUGAAGGUGCGGCGAACCUCAAAUCGGCUGUACCGCAUCGAGCUGCAGCUGGCGUCACAGGUGUGCCUGCUGGCCAGUCUCGAUAACCCGGCGUGGCUGUGGCAUGCCCGGAUCGGACACGUGAAUUUCCAUGCAUUGAAGCUAUUAGUGGACAAGGAGAUGGCGUCAGGAGUGCCCACAGUCCACCACCCAAACCAGCUGUGUCAAGCAUGUCUGGUGGCGAAACAAGUCCGGCAGCCGUUCCCAGGAAUGGCAAACUAUCGAGCAGAGGCGCCGCUCGAGCUGCUCCACAUGGAUCUGUGUGGGCCGAUCACUCCAUCGACGUUCGCCGGUAAUCGAUACUUUAUGUUGAUCGUUGAUGAUUUUUCUAAUUGGAUGUGGGUGUUUGUGAUCAAGUUGAAGGACCAAGCGCUCGCGGUGUUCGAGAAGUUCAAGCCGUUGGCAAAGAACACGGUAGGACGAACAAUCAAGACACUCCGGACAGACCGCGGCGGCGAGUUUUUGUCCGGCAAGUUCGCGCGCGUCUGCGAUGCAGCCAGCAUCGAGCGCCACCUGACGGCACCAUAUUCACCGCAGCAGAACGACGUCGUGGAGCGUCGCAAUAGGACGGUGAUGGCAAUGGCGCGGUCUCUCCUCAAGGGGAUGUCCGUGCCCGGCAGGAUGUGGGGCGAGGCAGUUCGUCACGCCAUAUUCCUCCUAAAUUGGCUGCCGACCAAGGCGAUGGGAAAUCGCACUCCGUUCGAGGCAUGGACGGGGAAGAAACCUCACCUGGGCCACCUGCGGGUGUUCGGGUGUACGGCGCACGCGAAGGUGACUGCACCGCACUUGAAGAAGCUGGACGACCGGAGUAAUCCGUUCGUGUACCUAGGCGUUGAAGAAGGGAGCAAGGCCCAUCGGCUGUUUGAUCCGCGUCGUCGGCAAAUCAUUGUAAGUCGUGACGUUGUUUUUGAUGAAAAUACACCUUGGCAGUGGAGUGCUGCUGCAGGAGAGGUGACUUCCACCGAGUUCGAGGUAGAAGAACCCGUCGGCGCAGAGCAGCCGGCGCUGGCAGAGCAGGCAGGCUUGGUACCGUGGUACCGGGCGCCGCCAGCAGGAAGGCGAGCCGGCAAGGAGCCAGAAGUGGCGGAACAGUGGGGAACGCCUCCGGCAAGCCCGGCAAGGCUCUCACCAACCUUGCCUAGCACGCCUACACUUGGCUCAUCCUCAACGCACUCUGCCAAGGUGUAGGCGUCACCGCACACUGCCGGCAGUGACGUCGGGCCGGUGCGGUAUAGAAGCUUGGCGGAGAUCAUGCUUGAAGCACCUCGGGUGGACCUGGUGGAGGAUGAUGACGACGCAAGAGCGCUGCUCGCAGAGAUGGAGGAGCCGUUAUCCUACCGUGAAGCAACCGGCGAGCCGGCAUGGGUGAACGCAAUGAACAAGGAACUGGAGGCCAUUGAGAAGAACAAGACGUGGUCGUUGUGCAUGCUGCCAGCCGGUCACAAGGCAAUAGGGCUCAAGUGGGUGUUCAAGCUAAAGAAAAACACCGCCGGUGAGGUGAUCAAACACAAGGCGCGGCUGGUGGCGAAUGGGUACGUCCAGCAGCAAGGUGUGGAUUUUGAUGAAGUGUUUGCGCCGGUUGCAAGGUUGGACACGGUGCGAGCUAUACUUGCUGUUGCAGCUGAUCGAAGGUGGCAGGUGCAUCACCUUGACGUCAAGUCGGCAUUCCUUAAUGGUGAUCUUGAGGAAGAAGUAUAUGUCUCUCAGCUGGAAGGUUUUGUUGAGAAGGGGAAGGAACAUCUUGUGUACGAAUUGAGCAAAGCUCUCUACGGGCUGAGACAGGCGCCACGGGCAUGGAAUACACGGCUUGAUCGGAGCAUGAAGGAGCUUGGUUUCAGCCGGUGUGCACAAGAACAAGCAGUCUACACUAGAGGUAUAGGGAGUGCCGGGAUAAUUGAUGGAGUAUAUGUUGAUGAUCUGAUCAUGACAUGACAAAGGCCAAGCGAGAUCACUGCAUUCAAACAACAGAUGAUGGGGGAGUUUGAGAUAAGUGAUCUUGGACUGCUCACCUAUUACUUGGGAAUUGAAGUGUUGCAAGGCACUGACGGGAUUGCCAUCAAGCAGGCUGCUUAUGCAAGGAAGAUUCUGACCCAGUUUGGGAUGCUAGAUUGCAAUUCUACCUCAAUUCCUAUUGAACAUCGUUCACAGUUGCACAAAGUUGCUGAAGGAAGCACAGUUGAUCCCACAGAGUACAGGCGAGUGAUAGGUUGUCUUCGUUACUUGUUGCAUACUCAGCCAGAUUUGUCCUAUGCAGUAGGCGUGGUGAGCAAAUUCAUGGAACAACUGACAGUGAUGCACUUCAAGGCGGUGAAGCAAAUUCUCAGAUAUCUCAAGGGGACAAUCAACUGUGGACUCAUGUUUUCUGGAGGCAAUGAUGCAGUGGAGAUUACUGGUUUCACAGAUAGUGAUCUGGCCGGCGACAGUGAUGAUCGUCGGAGUACUAGCGGCAUGGCGUUUUACUUCAACAGCAGUUUGGUCUCGUGGAGUUCACAAAAGCAGAAAACAGUGGCACUUUCGUCCUGUGAGGCUGAGUUCAUGGCAGCCACUGCAGCAGCUUGUCAAGCUUUGUGGCUCAGGGGAUUGUUGAUUGAGAUGAUUGGUGCAGAAGCCAGGCCGGUGAAGCUGUAUGUUGAUAACAAGUCAGCAAUUGCACUCAUGAAGAACCCUGUGUUUCAUGGGAGAAGUAAGCACAUCGAUACCCGGUAUCAUUUUAUUCGUGAGUGUGUUGAAAGUGGGAAGAUUCAGAUUGAAUUCGUCCGGACUGAGGAGCAGCGGGCGGAUGCGUUAACAAAAGGGUUGCCAGCAGCGAGAUAGGCGACAGCACGACACCUGCUAGGUGUUCGUGAUUUUGGGCCGUAGCAGAAUUAAGGGGGAGUUUGUUGACUGUUAUUUCAGCUAUGGCCCCAAGGUGAUCCAGGCGAUGGCAGUUGCAACGGCUGGAUGAAUAAUUCAGUUUUGAGUUUGUUAUGCAUGCACGAGAGAUGUGGCGAGCUGCAGGAGUAGGCGACCGCGUCAGGCAUGCGUUGUGAGCGUGAGUUUUGCACGGCAUUGGAUCCAGGAGUUCCGGAUCAUGGGAUGGCGCGAUUGUAGGCUUGGAUUCCUUUUUUUCUGUUAUUGGAGUAUAAGUAUCAGUAGCUAAAAUUUCCAUUUGUAAGUUUUUCUAUUCAGUUGAAUGAAAGAAACCAGAAAAUUGUCCCACAAAUUUCUUCUCUCUUGCGAUUCUCUGAAACUCUGAAAUACUCUGCUUCUCUGUUCUGAAUUUCUUCCUGUGUUCUUUAGUCUUUUUGUCUGUUGCCAUGCCGGACAUGUGCAGUGUGCGCACAAAGUGUUGGAUCGGGUGAUUAGCAGCUAACAUACAGCCCGUGCACAGGUAUUCUUCAUAUGAAAUAUGAAAACAAAGGUGAAACAACUAGCUCCUAUGGUGGUUUAAUUUUACAUAGUAUUAGAGCUUAUUCGGAACGCAAGAUUUUCACAGAAAACGGUUCAAUUAACUUAGCUUAAAAUUCUUCAGGAAUUCCUUCUAACUGAAUAGACCCUAAGUGGUUGAUGUGGCUAUAAGACGACGAUAACUUAGCCGAGAUGGUGAAAAUGUUAGGAAUGAGAUCCUCUACAGUAACAUAUGGCAACUGCCCGAAAACAUAGGCUAUAGUAAUCCCUACAACGCACUACAGUAAAUCGCAUGCUGCUAGCACUAAACAUAUAGCCUAAGGUAUCGAUGUAUACUGUCCUCACAUCAGGGGUGGGCAUUCGGUCAGACCGAAAAAUUCGAUCUCGGUCUUCGGUUUUUUGUUAGUUCGGUCUUUAGAAACUCAGGACCGAAUUUCAUCCAAAAAAUCUCAGGACCGACAAAUUCGGUCUCGGUUUUUUCGGUCACGGUCUCGGUCUGACCGAUUUUUUUUCACAACCACUAGAGAGUGGAGACGGAGGCGACGGCGACGGUGCUGGAGGCGGGGGCGGCGUCGCCGUCGGCGUCACCAGCACGGGGAGGAGGAGAUGGGGAUGGGAAGGGCUCGGUGGAUGGGAGGAUGCUGGUGGUGGUUGGUUGGAUAAGGUUGUGGGUGGAUAAGGUUGGUUUUGCUAAGGAGGUAUUGGGCCUAAUGGGCCAAUGCUAUAUUUCGGUUUUUUCGGUCAAUUCGGUUAACCGAGGCCUAAAACCGAAUUGCCCGAACUAAAUUCGGUUAGUAGAAAGUGUUGACCGAAUUUUUUGGCUAGUAUGGUUUCGGUCUCGGUCUUUUCGGUUCGGUUUUUCAGUUCGGUCUUUUUCUACCCACCCCUACUCACAUCUACAAUAAUGAGUGUUGAUCUACAGUACUUUUUUUUAGAUGAUAUCUACAAUACUUACUGAUGAUCUUGAUAUAGUAUAUAUAGCAUUAGGUAACCUAAUCAUGCAUAUUAUCUAAAAACAAUAUAACCUAAUCGUGCUGAAAUGUUUUUUUUUCUCCUCCCUGAGAGGUUGGAGUGUUGCACCUGUCAACCCAGGCGAGCAAUCCAUAUCUAAAAUAAUGUUACUUCCUCCGUUUCACAAUAUAAGUCAUUCUAGCAUUUCUCACAUUCAUAUUGAUGUUAAUGAAUCUAGACAUAUAUAUCUAUCUAGAUUCAUUAACAUUAAUAUGAAUGUGGGAAAUGCUAAAAUGGACUUACAUUGUGAAAUAGAGGGAGUACCAAUCUUCUUUGUUGUUCAAACAAUCAAACAUGUCAACUCUUUGCCACCACAUACGUCAUUGCAUGCCUUCCUCGAUUAUACCGUGGUACUCCCCUGUCUUUAAAUGUAAGGGAUUUUGAUGGGAUGCGACAAUCCUUGUACAACAAAUCUGAAGUUUUGGACAGGAGUCUGUUCUACUAAGAUGAAUCACAUCCCACCAAAGUCUCUUAUAUUCAGAGACAGAGUGAGGAGCUAAACCAACCCUGCUGUUAUAUUGAUGUAACCAUAUCCAAUGCAUGUAUAUACUACACCCUACUUAAAAAAAUUGCAUUAUUGGUAAUACUUCACAUUGUCUGUUGGAAGUCAUUUUCUAAAAAAAGCCUGGCGCUGUGUCUUAGACUUUGGUUUUUAAGCUACAGUGCAUUGUGCCCUAUGUGUUCUCAAGUGUUCCUAAGUCUACGUGGCACCUGAGGCCAGCAAAUUUUGUGACGCAUUGCUAAUGCCCAGGUGUAUCUUCGUCUAUACGGUGACUACCGACUGUGACUAAGUAUCGAUAUGUAUAUGCAUGUGGCUGCAAUAAUAUAGUGCAUAAAUUAAUGCUCCACUCAUACAAAAGGAAAAUGACCAGGACUUGACCCCACAAAAGCCACAUGUUUACACACCAGCUAGCUCAUCCUACUGCUCCUACUAUCUCAAAAUAUAAAAAUCAACAUUUAAAACUUUAACUAAUAAUUAAUCUAAAAAUAUUAUGUUUUUAGUAUCAUGCUUGUAAUAUCAUUAGAGUUUUCUUUAAAGAAUUUUAUAUGAUGUUGAUUUUAUAGUUCUGGAUAACAUUAGAAAGUUAAUAGUUAAAUUAGGGGUUAGCUAAAAAGCUUUUACAAGUUUUUUUUAAAAAAAAACUUUCAAAUCUAACUAUAGUAUAUAAUUUCAUUAGAAUUACACUAUAAUAAUAUUAAUAACUUGUAUAUAUGUAUAAAAUAAUAUAUUUAACUUUAUAUCUAAUUUAUAUAGAGAUAGCAAGUGGUUAUAGUGUAGUUACACUAUAGUUCCAAUAGUUACAAUGUAGUUAUAGUUAUAGUUAUAGUUAUAACUAUAGUAUAACUAAAAUGUUAGCAUAUAAGUAGGAUGUAACUGAAUAAAUCUGUCUUAAACAUGUGUGAUGGUGGAACUAGCUUGGGAAAAGAGGGUUUAGAUCUGAUAGGAAAAUAUCUCGGCACAAAUCUUAACGUGGAAUCAACGGCUAAAAAAUUGAAAACUGUCGACAGCUGGCUAACAAAACCGUAUAUAUAAUAUGAAACAGAUUUACCCUUUCGCGGUUCUGUAAAACAAACUAACCCUUUCGAUUACUGGAUGGUUAAGGCAGACAAAAAUAAUGAAAAAAAAAAGACAUGUCGCAGAUGCAUGAACCUAUAUAUCUGGCCGCAUCUAUCUUGGACUAUGCACGUAUCUGUUAAUUAGAUUUUUUAAUAAGGUCCCGCUUGUGUUGCUAGGAAGUCAAGUCAUAUAGUAUAUACAAGUAUACUGCAGUUUUGUACAAAGCAUCGAUCAGCAUUGGUUAAUUAUAUGGUUCACCGGCCGGCCUUGUAAUUAAUAAUUAAAACUCAAUCAAUCAUACGUUAAUAUACCACCUCGUUUUGCGUAAAAAAACUUAAUCUUCAUCUUCAUCUUUAUCUUCAGAAGAAAAAGAACACCACCGAUUUAGUUUUAUUACAUUUUGCUAUAAACUUAGUCAAACUUAGAUAAGUUUGACUAUGAAAAAAGUUAAAUUGUAGGAUCGAAUCACAAGAACUAAGCCAACCAGAGGGGAGGGGGGUGAAUGGUUGAUAUACCCAAAAACCGAAAACUUUUAGCGGAAAUAAAAGUUACCCUCGAAAUCGACGGAAGUCGGUCUGACCGAGAUUAAUCUGCCGGUCUGACCGAAGCGUAGCUGCCGGCCUGACCAGUGUUGAUCUUCCGGUUGGACCGCCCUGGAAGCCCUGCCGCGCCUGUUGUCGCCGCAGGUCUAACCGCAGGUCACCCGCCGGUCUGACCGCCGCAAUGCCGCUGGUCUGACCGCCGGUGUGUCGCCGGUUAGACCGCCUAAACUCGGUGAAACACAAAUCGAAGAACUCUUAAAGUGGAUGACGACUUUAUUGAUUCUCUCUGUGUUUACAAAGUGCACCAACAGCACUCCUUACAAAAAUUUCGACUAAACUCGAAACCCUAACUCAAAACUCAACUCAAUUGCUCUCAAAAGCGAUACCGGGAAGCCUCACGCUCCCCCUCUUUUUAUACCCGAGGUAGGCAGCCUAAAGACACGGACCAAACUCAUACUAGGAGUCCUAAACACCUUAGGAAACCCUCUAGUACAAGAAAGAAACUUUACAUAACCAAUCGUACCAAAUUUGAACUCCUUCCAAAUUCGACUCCGCAUCCCAUAUGCACACAAUAACUCCAUCGUAUGCCAUAUGGAAUCUCCAUCAACCACGUGCAUCAACUCUAGCCUAAGUAUCCCACAUGAUCUUUGACCACUACGGACGUCGUCUUAUCCCCAAGUCGACUCCCGGUCCAUCACCGCAAAUACUCUCCCGAGGCAUCGAGUCACCUACACAUGAAAUAAACAAAGAAACCAUAUUCCGAGACCAAGCUAUCUCCAACUUGACUCAUUAGUAGCAAACAACAGUAUUACAUACGUAUAGUAUUCAUCUAGAAGUCAUAAUCAUGAAAUAAUCACGGAUAUCCAAACAAACAACCCGAAACCGAAACCGACACAGUGUCGGUUUGUCAGACCGCGGGCUGGACGGUCCGACCGCUCGAUCACCGCCAGUCUGACCGGCUACCAGAGCCCGGUCUGACCGGUCACAUGAAAUAAUGAAUCCUGCAAUCACCUGUAAAUCCAAUCAUCUCCAAAACCAAUUUGUGAAUAAAUUCCAAAUAACAAAACCAGUAAUUUCCAAUGCCCAAUUGUUCUUCACAGAAUAAUAAUCAAAAAACAGCUUUGAUUUACAAUCUCCCCCUUGAUGAACACAUUGGCAAACCCAUCAGAAAUGUUUUGGUGUUUGGAAAAAUAAAAACAAAAGUGGUAAAAAGCACACUUCGUUCAAACGUACACAUCGUGCUCAAAAAUCUAAAAGAAAACUUCUCCCCCUUUUUAAAAGAAAGAAAUUCCCAAUUGAACCAAAAACAUGCUCUUCUCAACAACUCUCCAAAAAUUCACCUUGCUUCUCCAAAAAUCCAAAAUUUUUCACAUUACUUCUCCCCUUUUUGACAAUGAUUUCAUCAAGCAUAGGAAUUAUGUUCAUUAAUGUUCAAGAGCUUAGCAUACAUAUAGCAUAUCAUGUCAUGUGUUGCAAUAACAAGAAGAUAAACCCAUCUAUAAUAUAACAAGCAUGCAUUAAAGUAUAACCAUGAACCAAAGAUUUUACAAUUAAGCUUGAAUCAACAAUCAAAAUUCAUGAGUUCAUACGAUUUAUAAUGCAACAUCUUAACAAGCACAUAGGUUGAAGAAUAAACACUAAACACAUAUACAUAUUGCAUUUAUCACUCUUUCUCAAAUAACCUUUAGCACAAAAUAACCAAGAGAAUUUUUUCAAUUUUUUCUUUUCUUGAGCCUUUUUGCUCAUAUUUUUCUCUUUUAUUCCGAGUACGUCCCUGUCGUCGAGACUAUUUCCAGGGAUUCGGCACCCAUUAUUUUGCUCACAUCGAAUACAUUCUUGUCGUCAAGACUGUUUCCAAAGAUUCGGUAUUCAAUUUUUUCAUAUUUUGUAUUCUCUUUUUCACAAUGAGCAAUUAAAGCUAUUGGAGGAAUAACAAUUCAAUAAAGCAUAUAUAUAGAGCAUUUAUAAAUCAAAGCAUAUGCUAGCAUCAACAUUACAUAUUUUCUUAAUUCAAGUAUAGAAUUUAAGUAUCAUGCAUCAUCUCCCUUAAAAGCAAAAUCUAAAUCUCAUGGAAAGACUAGAAUAGAUACAAGCUAUGCUAGAGACAAAUAAACCUUUAAAGUAUUGCUAGCAUGCACAAGAAAAUACCAUAUGCAUAAACAAAGCUCUCUUUUAUCAAUUUUUUCAUUGUCAUAUUAUUACUUGAUAAAACCAUGAGGUACAAACUCCCCCUCAAACCAUGCCAAACGGAUGAAUUAUGCCCAAUUCACCACGAAGAAAAGCAAAUCGAUUAGAAUCCAAAAGUUUAGUGAAAAUAUCAGCAAUUUGCAACUUUGUGUCCAAAAACUGCAAUUCAACAUCUCCCUUCUCAACAUGAUCUCUCAAAAAGUGAAAAUGAAUAUCAAUGUGCUUUGUGCGUGAGUGUUGAACAGGAUUUUUAGCAAUGUUAAUAGCACUAGUAUUAUCACAAGAGAGGUACUUUCUCAAAAGUAAGACCAUAAUCUUUCAAAGUAGAUAAAAGCCAAAGAAUCUGUGAACAACAACUAGCAGCAGCACCAUAUUCAGAUUCAGCAGUUGAUUGAGCAACACUAGAUUGUUUCCUAGAAGACCAUGCAAUCAAUGAUGUACUAAGAAAAUGACAUGUUCCACUAGUACUCUUCCUAUCAAUUCUACAACCACCAAAAUCAGCAUCGGAAUAUCCACUUAAGCAUAUAGAAGAUGAAGUAGAAUACCAAAUUCCAAACUCAAGUGUAUGAUUCAAAUACCUCAUUAUUCGCUUGACCGCUUGACGAUGUGAAGCACGAGGAGAAGCUUGAAAACGUGCACACAAACAUACAACAAAUUGUAUGUCUGGCCUAGAAGCAUAUUCCUUUUGAUCAACAGCUUCACCAUCUUCAUCAGGAUCCAACACAGCUGUAGAACCAAUUGGUGUUGAAAUUGGCUUGCAAUUCUCCAUCUUGAACCGUUCCAAAAGAUCCUUCGUAUACUUGGUUUGAUGCACAAAAGUACCUUGAGGUGUUUGCUUAAUUUGCAAUCCCAAAAAGUAUGAUAACUCACCCAUCAUGCUCAUCUCAAAUUCCCUGCGCAUAUUCUCAGCAAAAUCUACAACCAAAGCGUGAGUCGAAUAACCAAAGAUGAUAUCAUCCACAUAAAUCUGAACGAAAAGUUGAUUAUCACCAUGCUUAAGAACAAAAAGUGUUUUGUCAACCUUUCCCAUUGUAAAACCUUUCGCAAGCAAAAAGUUCUUAAGCCUAUCAUACCAUGCCAUAGGAGCUUGUUUCAAACCAUACAAAGCUUUAGACAAUUUAAAAACAUGGUUGGGAAAAUCAGAAUUUUCAAAUCCUGGUGGUUGUUUGACAUAAACUUCCUCAUGUAUAAAACCAUUUAGAAAAGCACUUUUCACAUCCAUUUGAUACAAUUUAAAACCUUUUGAAGCAGCAAAAGCCAACAAAAGUCUAAUUGCCUCAAUUCUAGCAACAGGAGCAAAAGUUUCAUCAAAAUACAAACCCUCAACUUGAGUAAAACCUUGAGCAACAAGUCUAGCUUUAUUUCUCACAAUCAAACCAUCCUCAUUUUGUUUAUUUUUGAAAACCCACUUGGUUCCAAUAAUAUUAUGUCCAGAAGGUGGUUCAACUAAAGUCCAAUCUUUGUUUCUCUCAAAAUUUUCAAGUUCUUCAUGCAUGGCGUUAAUCCACGAUUCAUCAGUUAAUGCAUGUGACACAUCUUUGGGUUCAAAAAGAAGCAACAAAUGCAGAAUUUGCAUAAACAUCAUGAGUCGUUACCUUAGACUUUGUAGUCCGCUCACCUAUAUUACCAAUGAUUUGUUCCGGUGAAUGUCGUCGUUGAAUGUGCAAAGGAGCCGCGACUUCUGAAGUUGAUCCACGUUAUGUAUCAUUACUAGUCGAAGUUGUAGUUUCCGGAGGACCAUCUCGAACAGCAUCAACAGAACCCUUAGCCGACGACCCUGGCCGAUCUGACCGUACGUCCUGCGCCGGUCUGACCGGCCUGCCGCCCAGUCUAACCGGCCGAGCCGACCUCGUCGUCGUCGUUGUCGUCACUCUCCUCUUCAAAAAUACGACCAUCCUCCCCCUGAACCUGUGACAGUGUACCUGCAAUAUCGGGUCUAGUACCUGGACUAGCCUCAUCAAAGGAAACUUCACAAGUCUCAACGAUUUUGUUAGUCUCCAAAAUAAGUACACGAUAGCCACGAGUAUGUGCGGGGUAACCAAGAAACAAUCCAUCGGUAGAACGUGCCUCAAACUUAUCCAAAUUUCCAGAUUUCAAGACAAAGCACUUGCAACCAAAAACACGCAAAUGUGAAACUUUAGGUUGAUGUCCAAAUCGAAGUUCAUAAGAAGUUUUUCCAAGUUUUGAUCUCAAGAAAACCCGAUUUGAAAUAUAACAAGCAGUGUUAAUAGCCUCAGCCCAAAAUUUUCUAGGAGUUUUAUAUUCAUCCAACAUCGUUCUAGCCAUCUCAACCAAAACAUGAUUUUUCCUUUCAACAACACCGUUUUGUUGAGGAACACGAGGAGAAGAAAAUUCAUGUUCAAGACCUCUUUCAUUGCAAAAUUGUUCAAAUGAAGUAUUUUUAAAUUCACCACCAUUAUCACUUCAAAUUCUUUUCAAAGAACCAGGAAAUUCAACCUCCAAUUGAAGAAACAAACCACGAAAGUGUUGAAAAGCUUCGUCCUUAGUUGCCAUAAAAAAAACCCAAGAAUAUCGAGAAAAAUCGUCAACAAUAACCAACACAUACCACUUUCCUCCAACAGAUUGCACUCUAGCUGGACCAACAAUGUCCAUAUGUAAUAGCUGUCCCGGUGCAUCCGUCAUCACAGAAACAAUAGGAGUAUGUGAAGAAGCAACCAUCUUAGCAUGACGACACGGUGUACAAAUCAAAUCAAGAUCUUUCUUAAGUUUAGGCAAACCACGAACAAGAUCCAAACCACUUAGCCUAGUGAGAUGAUCAAAACCAACAUGUCCAAGUCUACGAUGCCAAAACAUCACAUCAUUAUAAAAUUUAGCAACCAAACAUGUUAUCACAGGUGAAACAUGAUUUUCAAAAUCAGCUUUAAACACUCUUCCAUAACGAGAAAUAUUCAACAUAGAAUCACCACAAGAAUCAAAAACUUUACUUCCAGUUUUCUUAAAGUGAACCUCAAAAUUUUCAUCAACAAUUUGUAAAACUGAAAGCAAAUUGUACUUUAAAUCCUCAACCAAAGCUACAUUCUUCAAUUCAAAUUUUUCAUUUACCUUAACCAAACUUGUAGCGAGAACAGCACUUGUAGAAGCAUCACCAAAGAUAAUCGAUUCAGUCUUGGACGCCUUUUUUAGUGAGGAGAACCAAUUUUUAUCACCGGUCAUAUGCCGCGAACAACCGGAAUCCACGAUCCACACGUUCUCCUUCCUUGCCACCAAAGCCUACACACAAGCAGAAGUCGAAGCCUCAGUAAUUAGUUAGAUGAUAAUAAAAAUUUAGGAAUCCAGUACUGAGACACACGACCAGAUCCAAUAGUCAUAUAUCCACGUGCAAAAUCAAUUUUAGAAUUUUCAGAAAAAUUCCUCUGAGGCCGGUUUGACCGAGGUACAGUGGCCGAUCUGACCGGGGGCCGGUCUGACCGCCUCUGUACCGCCGGUCUGACCGGUGCCCGGUCUGAUCGCCGCUUAGUAGCCGGUCUGACCGGUCGCCGGUCUGACCGCGGGACCCACUGCGGUCUGACCGGUUUCCUCGAGGGAAAACCCGAUUUUUGCCACUUUGAUUUUGCAAAAGCAAUCUCUCUCUCCUUUUUCUGUUUAUAAGCUAAUCUGAAACAAAAACCAACAAUAUGUCCAUCUUUGCCACAAAAAGAACAAAUAUAUUUUUCAUAAUGAUUAGACACAUUGGUAGAAUUAGAAGAUUUAGCAAUACAAGCAACACCAAGAGAUUUUACAUGCACAACAUUGGAUUUUGAAGAAGAUGCACUCAUAGUAGACAUGAUACCAGCAGAUUUAAACACAGUUUUGUUAGUAUCAGGUUUAACCAAAAUCUCACCCCUUCUAGCACCAACACCUAACACAACAGGAGGAUGUCUAGAAUUAUGAGCAUAAGGAUUAAAACCUAAACCACGAUUAUGUGUGCUAACCUUUGAUUGAUCCAAAAUCAUGUUGAGGUUCUUUUUACCAUCAGAAAAUCUUAGCAAAGAAUUUUUCAAAUAAGAAACCUCUUUUUUCAAAUUAGCACAAUUUUCACAAUCUACCAUCACACUUUUGCUUUUACGACAUUUAGUGCAAGAAAGCACUUCAUUGUUUUUUUACAACAUCUUCCAUGUACUCAACACAACCUAAAGCAUCUUUCAAUUUCAACUUAUUCAAAUUACAUGUUGAGCAAUCCAAAACAUCAUGAGGUUGUUUUAACUUUUUAGCAGAAAUCAUAUUAAACAUCAAACUAGCAUGAAAAGCAAUUUGAUAUUUUUGCAACAACUUUUUAGUUAAAAACAACUCAUCCAAAGUGCGUGUGUGCAAAGCAAAACUACAAGCAAGAGAAGAUCUAUUUUUCAAAUCAUAUGCAGCAUUAAUAUCUCUAAUUUUUGAAAUCUCAUUCAUUAAAACCUCACAAUUUUUGCAAUUAUCAUCAUUAGGAAUAAGAGAUUUUAAUCUAGCAAUUUCAGAUUUAAGAGAUUCAUCGAUAAAUUCCUCUUUUCUAUACAUCUUCUCACACUUCUUAUUCUUUUCACUCAAAAUAUUAAUAGCUUCCUCAAAAGCACUUACCUCAUUAUCUUCAUACUCUGUGUCAGAUUCACCACGCGCCAUGAAGCAAACAUCGGAGAUGUUCUUUCCCUUAUCAUCAUCUCCACUCUCACCAUCUACAUCACUUAGUGGCUCGAAGGCGGCGCAAACUUGUUGAAAAGCCUUCCUGAGAUUCUCCAUCUUCCUCCCUUGGUAUGAACCCUUCGGCUUGUUGUUGUUGUUCUUCUCACCAUCUUUGUCUUCUCUUUUGCCUCUCCCAAGCUUAGGACAAUGCGAACGAAGAUGAUCGAUUGAACCACAUUCAAAGCAACGAUUUGGACCACCUCUUUUCCUGUUCCUGGCAUUAUUCAUAGCUCGAGCAAUUCUGUUAGCAACCAAAGCCAAAUCCUCCUCCUCGAUUUGUUCGAGUUGAUCAUCGGAUGUGGCAUUAAAAACAGCAAGAAACGAAGGCUUAGAUGAAGAAGCAUCAACAUCUAAAGAAGAAGAAGAAGAAACCAAAGCACUCGACUUAGAAUCAACUUUUCGAGAAAGAACAUUCAUCUCAUGUGUUUUCAAUUUUGUAUAAAGUGAAUCCAAAGUCAAAGUAGACAUGUUAACAUACUCCUGAAUAAAUGUAACUUUCAUUUCCCAAAUAGACAUAUCAAGACCAUUCAAAAAGUGACGAGAAAUCUCAGAUUGUGGAUAAUUAGCAUCAUAAGACAGAUCUAAGAUCACUCAAAAUUUUAUUAAACCGAGAAAGAUAGUCAUCCAAAGCUUCUCCAGGUUUCAUCUCAAAUUUAAUAUACUCCUUUUUGAAGAGAUCACGACGAAGUUCUUUAAUGUUAUUUGUUCCCUGAUGAAAAUUACUCAAAGCAAUCCAAAUCUCAUGGGUAGUUUGAAGAUGAGCAACACGAUCAUAAUCCGAAUGAGAAAUCCCACUCAAAAGAAUAUUGCGAGCUUUGCAAUUUUGUUCAAACUCUAUUUUUAAAGCAGCAGUAUUAAUAACUUCAGGAAUCACAUAAGGAUGAGAGACUUUUCUCCAAAUAUCAUAAUCUUCAGCCAUAAUAUAAGAUUGCAUCCUACUACACCGAUGAGGAAAAUCCGUUCCAUCGAAAACAUGAGGCUUAGUUGAAAACCUAGCGGGAGUAGCCAUGGCAAAAACUCUAAAUCAAUAAAAAUCCAAAGAAGAAAACAAGGCUCUGAUACCACUUGUAGGAUCGAAUCACAAGAACUAAGCCAACCAGAGGGGGUGAAUGAUUGAUAUACCCAAAAACCGAAAACUUUUAGCGGAAAUAGAAGUUACCCUCGAAAUCGACGGAAGUCGGUCUGACCGAGAUUAAUCUGCCGGUCUGACCGAAGCGUAGCCGCCGGUCUGACCGGUGUUGAUCUUCUGGUUGGACUGCCCUGGAAUCCCUGCCGCGCCUAUUGUCGCCGCCGGUCUGACCGCAGGUCACCCGCCGGUCUGACCGCCGCAAUGCCACCGGUCUGACCGCCGGUGUGUUGCCGGUUAGACCGCCUAAACUCGGUGAAAUACAAAUCGAAGAACUCUUAAAGUGGAUGACGACUUUAUUGAUUCUCUCUGUGUUUACAAAGUGCACCAACAGCACUCCUUACAAAAAUUUCAACUAAACUCGAAACCCUAACUCAAAACUCAACUCAAUUGCUCUCAAAAGGGAUACCGGAAAACCUCACGCUCCCCCUCUAUUUAUACCCGAGGUAGACAGCCUAAAGCCACGAACCAAACUCAUACUAGGAGUCCUAAACACCUUAGGAAACCCUCUAGUACAAGAAAGAAACUUUACAUAACCAAUCGUACCAAAUUUGAACUCCUUCCAAAUUCGACUCCGCAUCCCAUACGCACACAAUAACUCCAUCGUAUGCCAUAUGGAAUCUCCAUCAACCACGUGCAUCAACUCUAGCCUAAGUAUCCCGCAUGAUCUCUGACCACCACGGACAUCGUCUUAUCCCCAAGCCGACUCCCGAUCCAUCACCGCAAAUACUCUCCCGAGGCAUCGAGUCACCUACACAUGAAAUAAACAAAGAAACCAUAUUCCGAGACCAAGCUAUCUCCAACUUGACUCAUUAGUAGCAAACAAUAGUAUUACAUACGUAUAGUAUUCAUCUAGAAGUCAUAAUCAUGAAAUAAUCACAGAUAUCCAAACAAACAACCCGAAACCGAAACCGACACAGUGUCGGCCGGUCAGACCGCGUUCUGGCCGGUCCGACUGCUCGAUCACCGCCGGUCUGACCGGCUACCAGAGCCCGGUCUGACCGGUCACAUGAAAUAAUGAAUCCUGCAAUCACCUGUAAAUCCAAUCAUCUCCAAAACCACUUCGUAAAUAAAUUCCAAAUAACAAAACCAGUAAUCUCCAAUGCCCAAUUGUUCAUCACAGAAUAAUAAUAAAAAAACACCUUUGAUUUUACAUAAACGACUUAGGCCCUGUUUAGUUCCCAAACAAAAAUUUUUCACCCUAUCACAUUAAAUAUUUGGACAUAUUCAUGGAGUAUUAAUAUAGACAAAAAAACUAAUUACACAGAUUCCAUGUAAAUUGCGAGUCGAAUCUUUUAAGCCUAAUUGCGUCAUGAUUUGACAAUGUGGUGCUACAGUAAACAUUUGUUAAUGAUGGAUCAAUUAGGCUUAACAAAUUCACGUUGCAGUUUCCAGGUGUAAUCUGUAAUUUGUUUUGUUAUUAAUCUAUGUUUAAUACUUUAAAUGUGUGUCCGUAUAUCCGAUGUGAUACGGUUAAAAUUUUCGUUUGCGAACUAAACAGGCCCUUAUAAUAUGAAACAGAGGGAGUACAUAUAAAGCCAUUUGGAUGGGCGUAGAUUCUUAUUGCUUACUUCCUUUAUUCCUAAAUUCUUCUAUCACCAGACGCUAUUUAUAUUUAAAACUUGACCAAAUGAAUUUUUAUAAAAUAUACUUCCUCUGUCAUUUUAUGUUUAACGUUAGUUAGUUCAAACCGUCAAAUAUUUGUGGAAGAAGGUAGAAUAUAUAUAAAAAGUUAAAAGAAAUUGUAUUAUCAAAGUGUGUUUUCACCCUAAACAGCAUUAAACUUUUAUCAAAGUGUGUUGCAUCCUAAACAUAAGCAUUAUGCUUUUAUUCAUUGUAGUCUAACCAUUUAAAAUGCUUUAUAUUAGUAGUCAAAGUUGAAACAACAUCGAUCGAUAGUGAUAGUAUUUGGAACAGAUGGAGUAUGAUCUCUGAAGCCCAAACCAUCGUAUCGGGUGACUUAAUAGUGACAAAUAUUUUGGCUAGGCCGGCGUAAGGUAAGCCCAACGCAAACUAACAGCCUGAGCUUGUUAAGAUGUCAAAGAGGAAUAAGUUUGCUUUAGGUCCCUCGUCUUUGACGCCAAGUAUGAAUUCUGUGCUUGAACCGCAAUAUCAAAUAUAACGUCUCUUAACUUGCAAUACCAGAGUGCGCCCAAGAUCGCAGGGCGUGCCUGGUUUCGACUAAUGUGGUGUUGAGUCAACGUGGGAUCCACGUGGGCCCUGACCAGCUUGUUCCUUCUAUCUCCUACUAACCCAUCUUACCCUCGCAUCACCAACUCUCCCCAACGUCUCUAUCUCAGUCCCACACUCCCACAUCUCUCCAGUGCAGCGGCUGAUGGGGAUCGGAGAAGGUCAGCGUCUGGUGGGAGAGGAGUUAGGUAGUGUGAGCAGUUUGGCGCAGGCCACGGGAGUGGGGAGCUAGUGCGAUACAAGAAGGACGUCGUGCCGUACCGCGGAGCCUAACGGUAGCAUGGAAGCACCGCGUGGGCUAGCUGUGAGGAGUCUGCGCCGUCAUUUGAGCAACACUACCUCCGCCCAAGCCGCACGCAGCUAUACGGGGUACUAAGCUCCAAGCUCCACUAUCCGGCUGCUGUCAUUGGCUUCUCGGCUCCAAGCUCUACUGCCGCCGCCCGGUUGAGCCAACGUCGCGAGGCCCCUCCAUCUUCGCUUGCCACCACUUAGGUGAGAGUGGAAUAAAAAAGGCAGAGAAAAUAAAGAUAAACAGAGAGGAAGGAGAAGAGAGAUGAGGGAUGUGCCAACAUGUGGGAUCUGCCAAUGUUUAAAUUUACAUUUUUAACUGAAAUGCCUUAUAGGCGGUCACUUAGGACGAAACUACCAUCAAAAUCACAUAGGGAUUUAAAUUGGUCCUGUUUAAAUAGUUUGAGGUACUCCAUAUAACACGGUUCAAUGACGGAAUCUCGACUCGUUGUCAAGAAGAUAGACCUAAAGUGAACUUUAUUUCUCAAACAAGAAGGUGCGAAUAAAGGCCCCCCAUCUUUUAGCCCAAUAACAACGGGGUCAUCUUUUUUCUUAAUGGGCCGUGCAAAGUUUCAGCCCAUGAUGCCCGUGGGCCCGGUAAACUCCCGUUUCCGUGCAUGCCAAGAAGCCUCUCCCCCUAUAAAAAAAAAACGCCCCCGACAAAGAGGGGGACCCAAACGAGUCACCUCUCGCACCACCACCGCGUCAGUAUACAAACGGCGGCGACCAACCAAAUUCCGGCGAGUCGUCGUCGUCGUCGCCGUCGUCGAGAGAGAGUCAAACCCCCCACACGCAAAGAGAGCGAAACCCCACCCCCCUCCUCUUCCUCAUCCACCCCACGCACGCCUCGUCGCGGCCGCGCGAGGUGAGCUGGAGCGAACGGCGGCGAUGGCGGCGGCGAAGGAGGCGGUGGUGCCGGUGGAGGGGCGGAGGAACGUGCUGGUGACGAGCGCGCUGCCGUACGUGAACAACGUGCCGCACCUGGGGAACAUCAUCGGCUGCGUGCUCUCCGCCGACGCCUUCGCGCGCUACUGCCGCCUCCGGGGGCACAACGUGCUCUACGUCUGCGGCACCGACGAGUACGGCACCGCCACCGAGACCAAGGCCAUGGAGGAAGGCUGCUCCCCCAGGGAGAUCUGCGACAAGUCAGCCUCUCUCUCUCUCCUGCUUGUUCUUGUUGAGGUUUUGGUUGCUCUUCUUCUUUUCAAGUGAACCACUCUGCUCCGAUUAUUUGAUCGAUUGAGCAAAAUUGUGGCAUGGCAUGAAUUUUCCCCUAAAUUUUGAGGCGAUUUCAUAUCGAAUAUUAGGAACAGACGAGUUGUGUAAUUUUGUAAUGGGGAUCCAGUUCGGGUUAGGAACGAAGGGAAUUGUCAGCUUCAGCUGUCUUAUCCUUUUGGAAGCAAAUUGUCAAAUUGCGCAACUCUCAAUUGGUCCAAGUCCCCAACGAAACAAAAAUCUUCCUGUCCCACUAGUUAAUCCUUUUUUAAAAAAAUUUGGAUUAGCGCUUACUAGUACAGCUUUAACAACUGAGUCCUCUCUCAUGCCAUGUGCGUAAUGAAGGUACCAUGCCAUCCACAAGGAAGUGUACGAGUGGUUCGACAUCAGCUUCGACAUCUUCGGUAGAACAUCGUCGCCGCAACAGACCGAGGUCUGCCAAGACAUCUUCCUCAAGCUACUGGACAACAAUUGGCUGUCAGAGAACACAAUGCAGCAGGUAAAGUUAUAGUGUCAGUGCAGGGAUUAUUACUUUAUUGGCAUCUUGUUUCAAUAGAAGUUUUAAUUUCCAUUGUUUCUUCUGUGAUGUUUUUUUGCUAACAAAUGGUGAUGGCUGUGCUUACCUGCUGCAGCUUUACUGCAAUUCAUGCCAAAGGUUCUUGGCUGACAGGCUUGUGGAGGGCUACUGCCCCACAGAGGGAUGCAACUAUGACUCUGCCAGGGGUGACCAAUGCGAGAAGUGUGGAAAAUUGCUGAAUUCAACUGAGCUGGUUAAUCCCAAGUGCAAGGCAUGUCAUGUCUGUUAACCUUUUUUCACUGCUACUACCCACAAUGCAUUUCUUUGAUGUGCUGUGAAUUUCUGAACUUUCUUCAGGUUUGCGGGAGCACGCCUUGUGUCCGCGACACGGAUCACUUGUUCUUGGAGCUCCCUCUGCUGAGGGAGAAACUUGAGAAGUAUAUCGACGAGACUUCUUUGACUGGAUCAUGGAGCCAAAACGCUAUUCAUGCAACAAAUGCUUGGUUGAAGGAAGGGUUGAAGCCUCGCUGCAUUACCAGGGAUCUGAAAUGGGGUGUGCCUGUCCCACAUGAGAAGUACAAAGACAAGGUUUGUCAUCAUUUGUUUGUGUUGGUGAAUACGAAAAAUUCUAAACUGUAUAUUGUUCAAGAUCGUGUCAGUGAUACUUGUGAAUUGGUUUCAGGUGUUCUAUGUCUGGUUUGAUGCACCAAUCGGGUACAUCUCCAUUACGGCGUGCUACACGCCUGAGUGGGAGAAAUGGUGGAAGAAUCCAGAAAAUGUUGAAUUGUAUCAGUUCAUGGGUAAAGACAAUGUCCCAUUCCAUACGGUAAGAGUACAUAUUCUUUUGGCAACUUGAGCUUCCAAAGUGUCAUUCAGUUUUUAUUAGAUUCUGUAUGUCCAAAUACACGGGCUUCAUCAGGCCUUCUCUUUUCAUGGAGAUCAUAUUUCAUGCAUGUAACAAAAUAUUUAGGUCAUGUUCCCCUCCACACUACUUGGAACUGGAGAAAAUUGGACUCUGAUGAAGACGAUUAGUGUGACAGAGUAUCUCAAUUAUGAAUCAGGUAAGACGACUGUUUUUGUGGUUUACAUUCCAAAUAGGUUGUUUCUUACCUUUUCAGAUUGGGUGCCUUGAAUACUAAAUUACUACGUAUGUAUUUUCAGUGAGCCUAUGUGGACGUCUUCUUUAUGUUAGGAUUCUUUUUUUUCAUGAACAGGAAUUUGAGUACUAAAUUAUGUUUUUUUUCAUGAACAGGAAAGUUCUCCAAAACAAAGGGCAUUGGAGUGUUUGGGAAUGAUGCAAAAUCCACAAAUAUUCCUCCUGAAGUGUGGCGAUACUACUUGCUUACCAAUCGUCCCGAGGCUAGUUUUUCAGAAAAAAAAAAUCAUAAUAUUUCGGUUAUGCCUUUAUGUAGGCAUCUACAUAACUACAAUAAGAAAUUUGUUUUGAACUGUUUUCUGUUAAUUCCAGGCAUCAGAUACAUUGUUCACUUGGACAGAUUUGCAAGCCAAGUGUAACAACGAGCUGCUGAACAAUUUAGGGAACUUCAUCAAUCGAGUACUAAGCUUUAUCGCGAAACCAGAGGGUUAGUAAAACGAGGAAAAUCUUAGUUCUGAACAUGAUACCUCUGUUUUAGUGCUCUGUUUCCUUAAGAUUUCUCUAGUAGCAUCCGCAUUCACUUGUCCAUUUUAUUCUGAUUAGCUCCUGCAUGAUCUGUCUAACAAGAUGUUAAGAAAUAAGAAGUUAAGAUAGUUCAACUGCUGUUGCAGGAACUGGAUAUGGUUCUGUUGUACCUGAUUCUCCUGAUGUGGAUUCCCAUGCUCUGACUCAGUCAUUGGCUGAGACUGUUGGUAAAUUGAUUGAUCAGUACAUCGAUGCAAUGGACAAGGUAAUGCAUUGAUUUUAAGUUGUAUUAACUGUACUACUCAAUAAAUCUGAAUUUGAAUUGCCUCUACGGAUCUGAAGAAUCGUGCUAACAACCAUUUCCAUUAACAGGUCAAAAUAAAACAAGGGCUGAAGAUUGCAAUGGCCAUUUCUAGCGAAGGAAAUGCAUACCUACAAGUAAGUCUUUAUUCUUCUUUUCUUCCCUUAUGCUCCUAAUUGUACACUAAAUAUACUUUCGAGUGGAACUGUCUAAAAUUUUCCAUUAAUAUGCAGGAGAGUCAGUUUUGGAAGCUUUACAAACAAGAUCCAGCCAGUUGCGCAACUGUGAUGAAAACCUCAGUUGGAAUUGUGUACCUCCUGGCAUGUUUGCUGGAGCCUUUCAUGCCAACAUUCUCAAAAGAUGUAUGUCUCUUGCUUCGCCGUACAAGUUACUCGCAUAUUUGCACAUAUCUUUAAUGAGAAUCUAAUAUGUUCGUUGUUCUCUCACGCAGGUUCUGCAGCAGCUAAAUCUAAGUCCAGAAGAGCACCUAUCAUUUUGUGAUGAAAAAGGAGAGGUUGAGAAGGCCAAAAGACCUUGGGAUCUCAUACCAUCAGGCCACAGGAUAGGGAAACCUGCACCUUUGUUCAAGGGAUUGGUGAGCUUAUAUGCAUAUUUGGGGACCAUCUUUAUCUGUUUUACUAACCUUCCUUUGCUUCAUGCCUCCCACUAUGUGCAGGAAAACGAAGCGGUGAAGGGCUUGAGAGAAAAAUUUGCAGGCAGCCAAGCUGAAAGAAAAUUGAGGACUCAAGUCGCCGCACAAUUGGAAGCCACAAGCAUAUAGAAAAUCUAACACUAUUUCCCUUCAACUACUAGAUGUUAAAACCGGGCUUAACAAAAGGAGCGUUUGUUUUCUUUAUUUUGCCUUGAAUAAUAAUUGUACAGUGUAGUGACUUGAGAUUAAUGAUAAUACAUAUUACUUGUAAUUCCAAAACUCAAAUGCUCAAUUGAUUUUAGUUUAUUGUUGAUUAAUUAUUGAGGCUUGCACAUAUGCCACUGUUCUGAAAAUCUGUACUUGAUGUUGUUUUUUGUCUACCGUUCUCUCCAAUAUCUUCAGAAUUACUCGCCCACUUCAAUAGAUAUUGUGAAAUUACGCCAGAAUUCGGAAGCUCACUUACAAGCCAUAUGCUGUAAAAAAGAAGUAAAGAACAUACAAGCCAUAUGCUGGGACACCCAGUUCGUGGAAUACCUAUUCCAUCUGACAAAUUUGAUCACUGGUGAUUUUUGUAACCCUGCUUAGUUGACUGCCCUGAACUCUGAACCUUAAUCUUCUAAGUACUCUGGUGCAAGCCUGAGACUUGACUGGUAGGGCACCUUCCUCGUAUCCAGAAAAUACUUUAAUCGUGUCUAGAAUUAUAUAAAUUACUCAAAGUUUCUGAUACAUAUCAGCUGCUAUCAGUAGAAUAAGAAAAUUUGUGGAGCUGAUGACAAUGUAUGAUAAGAAACUUAGAUGCCCAUAUUCUUCAAGAUGGGGGGCCACGGCAAAGGAACUUUAUGCCAUUUGCUUGAGCAAGCUUCUUUUAUUCAUUCCUAUCAAAAUGUAGUAGAAUAAUAUCAACAGAAUCCAAUUCUGGCAGGUGAGAACCUUUUUUUUCCAUAAGAUAAGGGAGGGUUGUCCAUUCUCUGUUUUCUCAUAUUGAUGAAUCUCCAAGAGGAUACCAACAGUACAUUGGAACGGGAACACAAAAAUAGAAAGACCAUCUUGAGGGAUGUCCUUAGCAUUCAGAACUGAUAUUAUAAGAAACUUUUACAGUACAUAGCAGCAACGCAAUUGCUUGCAAUUUAUUUAUUUAUUUAUUUAGUUAUUCUUUAUCCGCAUUGCCAACUUAAGAGGAUUCCGCCACAUUAUAAACGUCUUGGUAGCUCUUGUAUUGGAGGGGAGUGAAUGCACCGAACUCAUCUCCUCUGUUAUGCUUGAGCCUCUGAGCCUCUUCUCUUGAGAUGCGAUAUGCAUUUGCUAGAACAUCAGUUGGGAGAGCACGGAAGAUGGAACUCUUUCCUGCAAUGUGGCUUACCAUAGAGUUAGGGUUUGUCUUGAAUGCAAUGUAAGCACAUCCUUCUCUUUGUGCCUUCUUUACAACUACAUAGUGUUGUGGUACAAUAAGUAGCUGUCCACGACGAAGCUCUCCGUUGAACACCGUCUUUCCAUUGUUGUUGACAACUUGAACCUGGGCUCGGCCUUGAGUAAUAUACACGAUGCUGUGAGCGUUGAUGUUCCAGAACGGUGAAAGGAGUGCAUUCUGCAAUAGAACAGAUACACAUCAUUAAGCAUAUUGUGUGCAUUAAAGCUUUUGCCAAGAAAAAAAAUGUGCUGUUCAUUUACCUGGUAUAGAUUUACUUUAACGGCGCUCAUCUGUACAAGAUUAAGAAUGGGGAAAUUCUGGCUGUUGAGAUUUGUAACCCUUCCAGCUCUUGGGUUGUAUGUAUCAGCACGGUUAGGAUUAUCGAUGUUUUGCCUUACCCUCAUGGUGCAAAAGGUCUCAUCCAAACCGUUAGGGCAGCCACUCCCAUAUUGACUUUGCUGAUAUCCUCCUUCUUGAUAAUGCUCUCUUGAUUGCAUUUGUCCUUGUUCCUGCUCUUGCAAUGAUGCAUAUGGUUGCAGCAAACUGAGCCCGCGUUCAACGCGGACAAUUUCUCCUCUUUGGUCAUUUUGACACUGGAGCUGCCUUGCAACUUGGUUGCUUAUGCCAAAAGCCUCGCUAAGCAGUUCAGUGCUAAAGCCACUAAAUAUGUUUUGUGACCACUCCUCAACUUCACGCCUGUAUGCUUGAGGGUUUCUCUUAUUUCCAGCUAACAAGAAAUCCUAACAAUUGAUUACGAGGUUAAAUCAUUGUCUAAGAAAAGUGGAAUAAAAAGGUCAAAAUAAUAGUAAAAUGUUUAGUUUUGGAUAAGUUUUGCUUAAUUACCCUCUGUCGAGGGUCAAGUUGAUUAGCACCGUUGUUGAUAUCAGUGACAUAUAUGGCAACAACCGGCACUUCACCAUCAUUGUAGCACCAAUGAGCUACACCAGCAGGCAACGCGAUAACAUCUCCUUGUCUGAAACGGUGAAUCUUUUGAUGUUCAUCCUUGAACUUAUGGCUUUGGCUUUGACUUUCGGUCAAUUGGGCUUGCCCUGAUUGUUGGAACUGCUGCUGGUAGGUCUCAGGACAGCCUGGGAAAGUCGGCCCUGUUAUACCUCUCCCUGAAAGUAUGGCAUGCAUGUUAAUUACAAGCAAUGUAAAUAUCGCAGCCAAUCAUUAAUUCAUUAUGCACUUAAAUUGUUACACAAACCUUGGAUGAUAUAUACUAGAGAUGCACCAUUAGUGUAAUGGGGUAGUAGUAGGCCUCUAGGUUCAAUAACUCGGCGGACAACAGAUACUCCGGUACAUUGAAACAACUCAUUAGAGACAUCGAAGAACUCAGUUGUGCCAGCUUGAGACCUCACACUCCGAAUUGGCUCAAAUGCUUGCAACCUAUCAAAUCUACAUCCUCUCGGACUUCCACGACGAGAACUCUGCCAUUGACUAGUGCUCUGGCCUAAUAGCUGCUGGGCUAGGGAGCCAUCGCACAAGAGGAACAAGCAAACUGUGAAGAAAACUAUGGGGCGAUUUAUGGAUGCCAUGUUGUUGUAGGACUAAUGAACUGAAUGCUUUUUGUGAGAAACAAUGAGAAAUCAUCGUGCAUUUAUAGUGAGAUAAAGGCUCUUGCAUCUAAAUGUUAAGAUAGAGUUUGUUAAUGUCCAGACAUGAAGUGACUCAUGAUAUAUGAAGUGUGGUACACGAAAGGUGGAUGAAUAAUGAUGGACAUACAGAUAUGUAUAAUUGACGCAGCAUUGUGUUGUUCUUUCUCUCUUUCUUUUGCAAUAUGACAUGGAUAAUGUAAAGCCCUCCUCUUUUUGACACGAAAGGCAAAUGAAUUUUUGUGAGUCAUGCCUUGUCUUAUAAGCUCUCCUCUUUUUGCAAUAUGACAUAUAGCUCUGGAGUUUUAUGUACACAUCAUUUUGCUUUAUCUUGCUUGAGUCUGUGAUUUGUCAUGUGUCACGCCUAAUACUCAUCAAACGUGACUUAUGGGUUUAUGUUCUAACAUUUAGCUGAAGAUACUUAUGUAGAUGAGUAGGAAUGAAUAGGUUGAGAGAGGCAUGAUAUGAUGCAUGAGUUGCUAUGUCAUCGAUGAUAUCUUAUUUUGCAUUAUGUCAGUGGAGAAUGCAAACUUUGCACAUUGCUUAAGGGUUUCUUAUCCGGGGUGAGAGAACUUUUGAGGCUCAUCGAGGAUACACGACUCAUCAAAAUGUUCUUUUUAUUUCGUGGUCCCAUAAUGCUCACACAUUACUCAUGAUAUUGUUUCCUUUUCUAACACCACAUCUUCUUUCAUUACUUUUAGUUUUGUCUGUACUACAGAAUACAACAAACUGCCUUGUGCAUAUUUUGGUGUUUUAUUUGGGUUGCCUACACCAUGAUUAACUUCUUAUUGCUGUGAGCAAAAACCAACACCCUACUGCUAACUAAUUGUUUGAACUGCACGGCACCUUUCCAAAAGCUCCCUCUCCCUAUGACCUUGUCAGUUGUUUUCCUGAACAGGUUGCUGUCAUCUUAGCUUUUCCAUGCAACAAAUGCUUUACAAGAGGUGUGGACUGGUAGGUUGUAGCAUUAUUUGGCUGGGUUAAGGCUGUGUUCUUGAGUGCUGGUUCAAAACAAUCUCUCUAGUACGAAAAACAGAGUGACUUAUUAGCGCAUGAUUAAUUAAGUAUUAGCUAUAACUUAAAAAAUGGAUUGAUAUGAUUUUUUAAAAGCAACUUUCCUAUACAUUUUUUUUUGGCAAAAAACACAGAGUUUAACAGUUUGGGAAGCGUGCUCAUGGAAAUCAAGAGAGUAAACGAAUGCAGCCUAAAUAUCAUUGCAACACUAUUGCUCAUGAUUGUUACUUAAAGGUAGCAGUGUAAGUCCAAAAAGUCUACAUUAUCCUGUAUCUACAAUUACUUCAAUGGCCUUUGUACAUAGAAAAUAUAUACUUCUUUAGGAAAACAUGCUCUUAAAAAUUCACUAUAUAUCAAUUUCUCACUGUACAAUAUUUUUUUCAAAUGAUUUAUAGGGCAAGUUAUAUAAUCUGUUUUUUUCACACUCAUCUGAGGCUACUAAUAGAAAAGAAGGAAGUACAACACAAAUGGAACAUGUAUACAAUUCUACAGUUAAUUCAAGUUCAACAUAUCAAAUGACUUUCCAUGGCAUAAGCAAUCAGGAAAAAACCAACCCAAGCAACCAUAGUGGGUAAAAUAACGUAAACAGGGAAGACUUUUACCUUAUGCUGAAGAGGAGCAUCGAUAAUGGUGAGUGGUGACCCAGAAGCAACUCUCAUCAAACUCAAAUCCAAGGCACUGAACACGCCACCACAUUCACAUCCAAUACGACAACAUCAUGUAUGAUUUAUAGGCCUGGACACAAACAACCUAGAUAAAUGUUUCCAAAUAUUGAGGGUGAAAAACAAAACAGAGGAAUUCGGCCUGUGAAGACAUAAACACAGGCAAGAUUGGCUGCUCAGCAAAGGCCUCAUAAGCAUUUCAUGUUGUUGAUGGUUAGCACAGAGUCUCCAUUCAUAUUGCAGCAGAUUGGAAAUCACAUACAUCAUGAUCCGAAAUGCAGGCCAAAAACCAGAACAAAAUGUAGAAGGGGAUGAAGCAAGUAGUAGGACAGCAUGGAAUACCAAGGAGAGUACAGCAAGGACUACAGAGAGCUAAUGGAGAAAACCUGAGGAGGGGGAUGUGACUUUAAAUGCAACGGAGGAGAAAUGGAGGAGGCAAAACAGAGCAUGAGAACCACACUUACCCAGGAAGUGCUCCGCACGUGAGGGUUGAGUAAAGAGCAUACAAGAACUUUGCAAUAUGUAGUGGAACAUAUUGUUUCCAUUGACAUCAAGCUGCAAAAGAACGACCAGAAAAUUCUCGGGGAAUGCCUCAGAUAGUAAUCAACAUGAAGUAUACCCUUCUCAGAACAUGGCCUGGCAAACCAGCACAAAUCAGCAUGAUCGAGUUCCUGCAUCUGUGAAUUGUGCAUCACAACUGCACAUAUCAUCUUGCACAGCUCAGCCAGCUGUUCCAGCCAACAGAACACUACACCGCACCAGCCGCAGAAAUGCUAAGCAAAUCUGCAGUAUGCUUUAUUUGUAGGGUGAUCUCAUGCAAGCAGUCAUAAAUAGCAUGACUAUCCAUAUGUGACUUGUCCUUCACGAUAAAUUCAUGAACCACACCAUUCAACUCAAUGCAGCUACACCCAGGAACUUUCUCCACUCCCAAAUGUCUCAUCAUAGCCCUGACUUUGUCAGCCUUCUUCCUCAUGUUCGCUUCUGCAUACAUAUUAGCCAGUAGCACAUAGAUUCCACUAUCACUAGGAUCAAUUUCUACCAAUUUCAUUGCUGCCUUUUCUCCAAGAGAGAUAUUACCUUGCAUCCUACAAGCAAAGAAGAUAGCACCCCAAACUACUGCAUCAGGUUCCAUAGGCAUAGUGUUUACUAGCUGCUCUGCUUCGUCUAAAUGGCCUGCCCUGCCUAGUAAGUCUAUCAUACAUGAAUAAUGUUUCAUUUUCCUCUCAAGAUGAUAUUUUGUCUCCAUCAGAGAGAAAAAUUCCCGACCUUCUUUCACCAAACCAGCAUGACAGCAUGCUGAAAGAACACCUAUAAACGUAAUCUCAUCUGGCUUCUGUCCAAGCUCUAUCAUUGUCCGGAAGUGCUCUAUGGCCUCAUUGGCAUGUCCAUGAUUUGCUAGACCACAUAUCAUUGCUGUCCAUGUGAGUGCAUUUUUCUCGGGAAUUUCUUUGAAAAUGUGGAUAGCUUUCUCAAUGUUUCCACACUUAGCGUACAUGUCAAUGAGAGAUGUGCCAAGCGCAACACUAAAUACAAGGCGAUGUUUCUCAAUGUACCGGUGAACCCACAUCCCCAUUUCUAAUGCUCCGAGCUGCGAACAAGCAGUUAGAAGAUUGACCAUUGUGAUCUCAUCAGGCACCACACUUGCUUCCUGCAUCUCAUGAAACAAGGAAAGGGCCUCCUUGCACUGCUUACACUGCACAUAACCGGUCAUGAGUGCAUUCCAUGGGAACACAUCCCUUUCAGGCAUCUCAUCAAACACUUUACGUGCAUCGUCCAUCAAUCCGAACUUGGCAAACCCCACGAUCAUCGUCGUCCAAGAGACAACUGUCCUGUGCUCGAUCCUCUCGAACACAGACUUUGCCAUCUCUAAACUGCCACACUUGAUGUACAUAUCCAUCAGCGCAUUCAUCAGCCUCACAGUGCAACUCACUCCGUCACUAUCCACGAACCCAUGAAGCCGCCUCCCAAGCUCCAGGUCACGCAUCUGCCCACACCCCGACACAGCCGCGAUCAUCGUGACCUCAUCAGGCCUCACCACUGCAUCCUCUGCCACCAUCCUCCAGAACAGCUCCAGCGCCUCCGCUGGGUUCCCCCGCCGCACGUACCCUCCGAUCAGCGUGUUCCACGACACCAAGUCCCUCACAGGACUUCGGUCGAACAGCCUGCGUGCGUCCUCCAUGGGCCCGCGGAUCGAUAGGAAGUGCGUGGCCGCGUUCACCACGAAGACGUCGGAGUCGAGGCCGAGGCGGAGGACGUGCGCGAGGGCCGCGUCGCCGUAUCCCCACUCCCGCAGGCGCGCGCAGGCCUUGAGCAGGAACGGGAACGUGAGGUGGUCGGGGCGCGCGGUCCCGGAGCGGAGGAGGGCGCGGUAGAGCGGGAGGCAGCGGCGGACGACGCCGUGGCCAUGGCGGUCGCCGUCGUCGGAGAGGGAGAGUGCUCGGAUGGCGGCGUUGUAGGCGGAGGCCGGGAGCGAGGAGAGGAGCGCGAGCGCGUGGCGGAGCGGGGAGGGCGGCGAGGUGCGGGCGUCCGUGGCGGUGGCGGUGGUGGAGAGCGCGUAGGCGGCGGCGAGGAGGGAGGAGAAGUCUUGAAGGAGGCCGGCGGCGAGGAGGUGGGCGUGGAUCUGGAGGAGGCGGCGGAGCGGGGGCGGCGGGCGGCGCGCGGAGAGGAGGGCGAGGAGACGGGAAGACGGAGGCGGAGGCGGCAUCGUUUGGGGAGGCGGGAGGAAGCGGAGGCGCGGGUGAGAGGUGAAACUGUGCAAGGCUUUGGAAUGGCCCGCAUGUCAGUGCCAGGUUGGGAAUGGGCUGAAUGUUUGGGCCUCCACACAGGGCGGAAGGAAAAAGUACACCGCAGGUCGCUCAAUUUGUCAUCGAGUUACAAAAUCGUCCAUCAACCACAAAACCGGAUACAUGACAUCCCUCAAUUUACAAAACUGUUCACUUUAGGUCAUUCGGUAGCUUUGAUCCCGGUUUUAUCCGACGUGGCGGCUGAGUCAGCGUGGAACCCACGUGAACCCUACAUAUCAGUAAUCCAUGUCAUCACCUCCCUCUUUCCCCUCAUCUCCCUUCCUCCUCUCUUUCUCUCACUUUUAUCCUCUUGGGCAGGCUGGCCAGUGAUUGCAGGGGCAAGAAGCCGCCGCCGUGGAGCUUGGAGUGAAGCGAGGGGUACCAACCCUGGUGGUGCUAGCGGCGGAGACGAAGGGUGGUCUCUACUACCUCUCCAACCUCGACCAGAACAUCGCCAUCGUUGUGCAGACCGUCUACUACUUCACGGCAGCCGACGACGAUGCCGCCACCGGUGAUGCACUGAGGGAGCCGCUCCUGCAUAGGUCGUUCCGGUUCACGUCCGAGCCCAUCGUCCAUGUCAAGGCGCUCGUCGCGGUCGACGGCGGUGGCAGUGGGCGCGCGCCCACGAUGUUCGAGGCGCUCGCCGGGUUCGUGUGGAGUGUUGACGGUCGUUAUAGACAAAUUUCGACCACCAAUAUAACUAAAAUAAUGUCGGUGGUUGGGGCAGGCGGCGGCGGUUGCUGACCGGCUAAAGGAGGAAGAAGGGGCCAAUAGGUGGGCCCCACCUAUCGAUGACCCGGAGAGAGGAGGGAGGGGGCGGGCCGGCCUAGCAAGGGGGCGGCGCGGGAGGCGAGUUGGGCUGAUGUCCCAACAAAGGAAAAGGGGAAAAAGAAAAGAGGAAAAAGGAAAAAUAAUUUCCUGGGAUUUAUAUAUUGCAGUUUAUUGCUUUUAAUUAGUUAAAAUUAUUUCCAUGGCUUUGAAAAUUCCGUUAAAAAUCUUGUUAAUGCAUUAGAGCAUGGGGAACUCAAGAAAAAUACUACCACACCGAUUCCAAUUAUUAAUUAUGAUUCAACUCUAGGUUAAAUUAAACAAUUUCUUCAAGCAAUUUAUUAAACGAAUUUAAAGCUAGAAGGGGAAAACUUCAGGGCGUGACAGGCGUGGCGGUGGGAUUCAUACCGGUGGGCACUGGUGCCGCCGCCCUCUCCUUCUCCCACGUCGCCACCGCCGCAUCGCCGGUCGUCGGACCUCCUCUCCCGCCUCACCCCAGCGACCUCCCCACCCGUCGGCUCGCCUGCCUAGAGGAGAAAAAGUGAGUGAGUGAGUGAGAGAAAGAGAGAGAGAGGGGGGAGGAGGAGGAGGAAGGGAGAGGAGGGGAAAGAGAGAGGUGAUGACAUGGCGUACUGACAUGUGAGGCCCACGUGGGUCCCACGCUGACUCAGCCGCCACGUCAUACAAAACCGCAGUCAAAACCACCGAAGGACCUAAAGUGAACGGUUUUGUAAGUUGAGGGAUCCGGUUUUGUGGUUGGGGGACAAUUUUGUAACUCGAUGACAAGUUGAGAGACCUUUGGUGUACUUUUUUCCAAGGCGGAAAGGGCAUCACUCGUGUGUAUAUAGAUGAUAAAUGGGUUUGUGGGUCAUCUAAAGUGAUGUAUAUCCUAUGUGGCAACCUAGUUGGCAAUGUAAUUGGCCCAUCCUUCAUUCCCUAUAUGGCUAUAUCCCUAUUGUUACUCUUCAAUACACAUCCCCUUCUCUUCCCCAAAUUAGAUUGUCCAUGUCUUCUGCUCAAGUGCCAUCUCCAUGAUAUGCCUAGAACCAUAGCCUAUGUCUCCUUUGCCUCCCAAUGAUCCCGUCUUCCAAACAUGUAAUUUCAUUGGUGUUGCCUUGCUAUCAUGGUUGCUCCGCUACACCCCCUCCUUCACCUCCUUCAUUGGUCAUCUGUGCCUCUUGCUAUAGCUUCCUUUGCUAACACCAUCUUACCAACUAAGGAGGAUUACGUGUCAAGGAGAGAGAGAGAGAGAGCGCGCGAAGAGGAGGACACUACUUCUAAGGGAGAGGAGAGUGAAAGACAGGUCACCAAUAUCAAGGAAGGAGGGUGAACAUAGAAGAUGAACUAAAAAUAAGGUUAAAAGACACUAACGCCUGACGAAGCCAUGCACCAAAUCAUACCUUCCUAUAAAGUUGAUACUCACUAACUCCUAAAGCUCAACAUGCAAGUGUGUUACAUCAUCACACACUAGCAAUUAUUAUCUACAGUAUUUUAAAUAUCAUGCAAAAAUGACAUAUCAUUUACAAUGUUAUAUUUUUACUUUUUAGAAUUCAAUGUGUAAGCAAUGUUAAAUCAUUGUCUCUACAUUAUUUUUAUAUUAUUUAAACAUAUACAUCUACUAUUUUUAUAAAGUAUAACAUGCAUUUAUUCACAUAUCCCGCAGUAAAACGUAGGGUAUCAACUGGUUAAAGAAUGAUGAGAGCAUACAAAUUAAAAUGGAGGGCGUAGAGAGCCAAUUGACAGUUGGGCCACCACUACAUAGGACUAAAUCCGGAUUUGUUUAUUACCAUGUUAGUUGGUUGAUGGUAUGUAGGAUAACUAAACCAGUAUAAAACCUACUCAUUUAACAAAAUUAUUGUCUGGUUUGAAGAUUUGAUGGUGUAAAAUAUCUCUGUUACUAGUUAAGAGGGUAAAUCAGACCAACUUCAGAAAGAGAGAGAGAGGGUAAAUUGGACCACGACAAUACUAGAUCUAACUUUUUACUAUGUAGAAAGCUAGAUGUUCAUUUGUUGACUUUGGCCUAUAUAAAAAGCAACUCUGUGCCUCGCUACAAGGCUACAACUGCAAAUUAAUGUGUUGAUACUUUCUUAGCUUUUUCUUAGAUACUCCAUCCGUCUAUAAAUAUAAAUAAGCAUUCUUUUUUUUAUAGAGGUUAAGUUACAAGAAAAUUGCAGUAAUCUUAGGUUUUUUUUACAAUAAUGCCACUCACUAAAUACGCUAAAGGAAGUUGAACCAUCGAACUAGGAAGAGAGAGGAACUAGGAAGAGAGAGGUCCACAGUUAAUGAGAGGUGGAAAGGUAAAAACAGUAAAAGUUAACGAAGCUUGUUAGAGCAAGUUUAACAGUAUAGCCCACUACUAGCUCUAAUUCAUCUAUAGCUGAUCUAAUAGCCAAUUUAUAUAAUAGUUGUUUACUAUACUAUGAAUAUAUGGUCCCACCUGUCAUACACACAUUAUGUCUUGGAGUCCGUGCUGCAGUUGGCUAUAGAUCUAUAGCCCGCUGCUCUUCUCUCUCAUCUUUUAUCUCAUUAAAAUAUGUUUAUAUCUGGCUAAUAGUCUUCUAUUGUACCUGCUCUAAGACAUUUUUUCCCCUUGUCCACUUGUUGUGCAAUUAUUAAAUAAUUAAAGCGACGCCUGUCACUAAUAAUAAAUCUAUAAUUCAUCGUCUUGCAAACUGAUAAACCCUGAGCUCCACUUGAUACGCUCACGGUUCUAAUUGGUCCAUUCUUUCGGUGAGUUGAUGAUAAUUAACUACGAUUUGAGAGAAACGUUGACGAUCCGACAUCAACCAUACAAAACGUUAUUGUAUUGCGCCUUAGCAAUUGAUACACCUCUCCGUGAAUUACUGAUCUUGCAAAUGCAAAUCAACCUUAUUCCUGCAAGCAAAUCAAAAAAACAAGCAAGAACAAGAUAAAAUCAAUCCGAUUUUGCAAAUAUGAAUUGAAUACAAAUGAUAAGUUGGGGUUCCAAAGACAAACAGACGAGUGAUCACUAGAACGGGAUCGCUUAUCUGUGACGGGCUGAAAGCAUCAUCACUAUCGGGUAAGGCCCCCGUCACUGGGCAAAGGUCACUGAUGUGAGGAAAAAUCUCAAUCGGGCAAAAGCCUGUCACGGAUGGAUGUUAUCUCAAUCGGGCCGAAAACAAAGCCCGUCACAGAUGAGUAUGACCAGUCAAACCAGCGUAAUAAGGAGCCCGUCACGGAUAACUAAUCUCAAUCGGGCACACCACUAAGCCCGUCACGGAUGAGUAGUCAUCUCCAUCGGGCAUUUAGCCAGAGCCCGUCACCGAUAGGUUUGACCCCACGUGUUGAGUCAAACUAGUCCCGGUUCGGACGACUUAUCUCUAUCGGGUGUAUUCUAAAAGCCCGUCAGGGAUGACUAAUCUCUAACGGGCAGGACUCUAUAGCCCGUCACGGAUGAGUUAUCUCUUUCGGGCAUUAGCUAAAUGCCCGUCAGGGAUGAAUUUAGAACCAAAAAAAAUAAAAUUUGUCUUUUUGGCUAGCCUCAGGCCUUUGCUAGCCAUGCCCGCUGCAAAAAUGACAGAAGCAUAUAUAUACAUAGUCCCAUUCCCAGCAUCAAUUCACAUAUUCCAUCAUAGCCAUUUCAUAUAGACCCAUUCCCAGCAUCACAUCAGUCAAUUCACAUUCAUAUUCCAUCACAGCACAGCCAAUUCACAAAAUCAAACACAUAUACAUUCACAUCCACAACCCAUUCACAUAUAUGUCAUUCACAUCCAUUUUUCUCUCCAAACCGCCGACAUGCAUCAAAACCUGCAAAAAUAAGUUAUAAAUUGGAACAAUUUUAUAUGUAACUAGAAAUGCAAGUAUAUACAGAGACGAGCUACCUAGGACUUUACUCUAAAGAAUAUAAUUGUAUUACAAAGAAUAUUUACAAAAAUCAAAUGUUUGUCGCAUAUGCAUUGCGAAUGUUCUGCCAUUACGAGACGAGCUACCUAGGACUUCACUCUAAACAUCCCUUUCGGUGACAAGAUAUCAUCUAGUAUGAAUUGUGCUAUCUCCUCUCUAAUGAUUUCGAAGUUGAUUUCCGGAAUCCUUGAAAUAAAUUCCUGCAUGUUCGGCACCAAGUUAGUCUACAUACUUGUAAAUUUGUCGUCCUAUGUGUGUAUAAACAAUUGAAUUACACACCUCAGGGUCGAGCAAAGUCACCUUUUCUGCGAAGCUCCUCAUGUUAUGGUAGACAUGGAACCCACACUGGUCGCCAACUUGUUGACGUAUUGGGAAGUCUUUCUUGUGACCGAGUUUGGGAUGCCUAUCCUUAUGCUUCCCAUCUCUUGCCACGUAUUGGUCCCAAGCCUCGUUCAAGGCAGAUUCGAUGGCCGACCAAUCGUAUAUUUCUGGCUUGAUAUUGGAGUUAAGGUAGUGUACCAAACUCCACUUCGGCGUUAUUACCAGAAGAAUCCAAUGUCGCCUGCGAAAUUAUUAAAUUGCCAGUUACAUACUACAAUUGUACGCGUUGAGUAUUUGAGUAUAAGUACGGUACACGCUUACUGUUGAUUGUAGGCGCACAUAAUGAAGUCCUUGUCUUGACGGGCAAAUAAGCAGUCCUUGAUAUAUGCCACCAUGUUUGCUCGAUCGUUUUUCAGCGUUGUCUCGUUGACGACAGCUGGAUCGAGUAAGGCAACAUGGGGUGCUUUACAAUGGACAUGCUUCCAGGUUAACCUACGAGCAAGACAAGAGUCAGGGUAAGUGUAAUUUAUGGACAAUCACUACCAUAUCGCAUACCAAGAAAUACUUACAAGAAGUAGCACUUAAGGAGGUUGGUGUCGAUCGCUCGCACCCUGUAGAGGUCCCAUAGAUCUUUGAAGUCUACGGCGAUGAAGGCAGUAGGCCCGAGGAACAGCUGACCCUCGUGCUGGCCCAACAUGGAGGUCUCUCUAUUCUUCCUCCUUGCGUUGGACUUCUCCAUGUAGUACCCGUGCAACUCCUUGCAUGCAGGGCCCAUCUUGAAUAAGGCAUCGUCUCCGACCAAUGGCAUGCCCAAUGUGAAUUUUGCUGGAGGCUUUGGAGGAGCUACUGGCGCCUUGCCAAGAUCAAGCUUCUUUGGGGCUAAUGGCACCUUUAUUUUUCCUCUCCCCGUUCCAGCAGCUUUUCUGCGUGUGUCAAGCUUGGGUGGAGAAGAUUUCGCCCUCUUGCUCCUUUUGGCAGGAGGGGGGAGGUGAGGCCUGCUGUCAACCUCCAUACCAUCGUCCCCAAAAUCAGUAUCAUACUGUAAUUGGAGAUCUUCAUCUCUUUGUUCAACGGCAGGAGGGAGAGAUACAACAGUUUGAUGGGGACGCGUCAGUGGCGGACGAGAACUUGGCGCUGGCCUUGGAGUUAUAUUGAUCUCAAUGCUAUGCUUGGGCCAUUGAAUAAAGGUCCCACGUGCAGCCCCAAGGGUCAGAAUCUCGUCAUUAGGUGGGUGUGGGAUAGUGUAGCCAACCCAAUCGGGCUUCACUAAGUCCACCUGAACUUUGGCAUUGCCGGCUUGCAGCUGCGCCCCAUGCACUCGGGUCUCCUGGGUAGGCUUGAAUGCUUGACCCUCUGCGGCAGGAAUUGCAAAUCCUGGUGUCACCCUAACGACUAGGGUACACGAUGU
rnacentral:lncRNA from 1 species